UUUUUUUUUUUUUUAAGUUAACACCCAUGGCUUGCAUUAGGACAAAACUGGACCUGGGGAGGUAAUGUGGAAAUUUCAACCAAGUUUUUGGAUUGGGUUUGGUUUUCGUACAAAAUCGUGACGUUUCUAAAACGAAAACCAAACAAUGCUACGAGUCUGAAAGAGAUCAGACAUGUCUCCUUUGGGCCUGGGCUCAUGUAACUCCGAUCGACCUUCACCCACAAGAGAAAAAUAAAAAAUAAAAAAUAAAAAAGAUUUCUUUCGUUUAGUGGCCUUUCAGUAGAAACCCUAGUUUUAUGAUGAUCUAAGGGGGCACAGAAUUUGGCAUGGGAGAUAACAAGACCUGAUCAUUCUUGGUGUCAUGUAAUAAUCCCAUGGAUAUGAUCUCUCUCUCUCUAUUACAUAACCCUCAUGUAUAAAUGCUAUAAAAACCCAGUGGCUCUGUGCAGGGUACAACUGACAUCUGCACACAAACCCAAACUUCAUUAAACCAUGUCUGGUUCAUAGAGAACAAGAAAAACAAAAUAACACUGUAAAUCCAAAUCCUAUAGCAAAGCCCCCAUGAGUUAUCAACAUCGACAACCUUUAUAGCCUAAUUGUUAAUGUAUCUGGUUGAGUAUUGUGUAGUAGUACCUCUAUGUUUUGUCGCUGUUGAUACGUAGGGUGUGGCUUUGGGAUGAGUUAAAGCUCCUCUUUGUUCGCUGAAAAGAGGGCGUACAUUGUCAUUUGGUGUGCAAACUAAAGUUGGUGGUAAUCUUAUUUACCCUUUGGGACCACUAGCCCAACACUGUGCACUGGAUCUUCUGCUAAGCCCACCAAAAUAAUAAUUAAAAAAAAACAGUGGUCCUCCCUGCUUCCCUCUUCCCAGUCAAAAGAAUUUUGUUUUUUUAUAAAAAAUUAAAAUUUUUUUAUUUAAUAUUAAAAAAUAUAUUAAAAAUAUUAACUUUAACCAUAAAAUAUUUUAUUAUUUAGCCUUUAUAUUAUAAAAUAAUUUAUUAUUUUAUAUAUUAAGUGUAUUAAUUAAUAAGUUUUUCUAUGGUGCAAGGUUUAAAUAGCAAUUUUUUUUUUGGUGUGAGGUGUUAAUCGGACGGUGUUGUUGUUAUAAGAGCAGCUUUUGCAUUUAGAGGUAAAUAAAUCACUCUGGUUUAUAAUUAAUUACUGUUUCUUGUUUUUUAUUUUUGUGGAUCUGCAGUCAGCAUUAGCAAUUUUGAAAAAAAAUUGGAUAAAAAAGAAACAUUGGAGUUGAUGUUGGGUUGGACUUUUUGUAAAAAUGUCAGGACAGUGGAUUCUUAUUUACUUUUCUGCAUGUAUGCAAUGCACGUCUCCUUUGUUGAAUACUUUUCAGAGAAUAUACAGCGCUAUGAAUUAAGUAAAACACUGUCUAAGAUCGGAUGCUAUUGUCCUCUGCGUCCUUUUUGCUUCUUUUUAGCUUGCAGCCGUUACAAUGCUCCGUGUCAACCUUCUGAUCAUUCAACUUUUUUCUUCAAAUGUUCUCAGAGAAACGUGGAAAAAGUUAAACCCUUGCCUUUAUCAUCACUCUGCUGCUCUUUUCUUUGCUUUUCUUAUCUGUCACCUCUCUAUCUAUCAUGUAAUGCUUAAUAUUAACUGUUAUUCAAGUUGUUACACAAGUUUGAAUAUUUAACAUGUAUUUUCCUUGAAACACCCAUAGGUGAAAGUUUUACUUGUUCUUCAGAUAUGCCUCACAUGCAAAUCAAGGAUUCUCAGGAGAACCAUGUGGUGUCGUCUUUGCAAACCUUGGAUAUUGCAAAAGAGAGCAUACCCAGGAGGAGAAAUGGAAGGAGAAGAGGAGGCAAAGGACUCAAAAUGGAUUCCAAGAAUAUGUUAUUAUCAGAAGCUAAAGGAACUCCUCCUGCUUCAUGCAAAAGCCUCUUCAUGUUUCAUCGCAGGCCUGGGUAUGGUCAGCUGGGGACGAAGUGCAUGGUUAAAGCCAAUCAUUUUCUCGCUGAGAUACCCGACACAGACUUGAGUCACUACAGUGUAAGUUUUAUAAACCUUUCUUGUUGAGUUACCCUUUUAAUUAACUUGUCUUGGAGAGCUUGUCUGGUUAUGGAUUUUGUGCAAGAUGCAGGUAGAAAUAACCCCAGAAGUUACAUCUCGUAAACUGAGCAAAGCCAUCAUGACCCAGUUGGUAAAACUGCACAGAGGAACUGAUUUAGGGAUGAGGCUACCUGUUUAUGAUGGAGGAAGAAACCUUUACACAGCAAGAUCAUUGCCUUUUAUCUCCAAAGACUUCACUGUAACUUUGGUUCACGAAGAUGAGGCAACAGGCAAUUUCAAGUAAUCAAUUUGAGAUAUAAUACACUUAUUCUUAGCAACAUCCACAAGCAUAUAUGCUCUACUGAUGACUAUUUUUGGUUAAUUAGGAAAAGAGAAUUCAAAGUGACAAUAAAGUUUGAAGCACUUGCUAGUAUGCUGCAAUUAAGGGAGCUUUUUUCUGGAAAACCAGUUGAUACUCCUCAAGAAGCGAUUACUAUUAUUGACAUCAUACUAAGGGAAUUUGCUGCUCAAAGGUUGAACUAAUUUUUGUAGUUUUGUGGGGAUUUUUUUGUUUUCGUUUACUGCCCACAGCAAGGUUGGAAAUUGCUUGUUAUCUCUGGAAAUAUGCGUUUGUAUAGGUACGUAUCAAUUGGAAGGUCCUUCUAUUCUCCUGAUAUAAAGAAACCACAGAAGCUGGAUGGAGGUUUAGAAUCAUGGCGGGGCUUCUACCAAAGUAUAAGACCAACUCAAAUGGGGCUAUCACUGAAUAUUGGUAUGGGUUUUUAUCCAUUGAAGUUAAUAAUAUUUGUGUGGAAAAGGUUGAUAUUCCAAAUCUAAAUGCUUCUUUGUGCAUCUGUUUUCUAUUGAUCAGAUAUGUCGGCUACGGCUUUCAUUGAACCACUCCUUGUUAUUGAUUUUGUUGCUCAAAUUUUGUGCAAGGACGUGUAUAAAAGGCCAUUAUCAGAUGCAGAUCGCGUUAAGGUAUUAUACUAUUGUAGUGCAGAAAGCAAAUGAUCGGUUUUGUUACUUUAUAAAAGCAUCAUCUUUAGUGGUUCCCUGUUAUUUUUUGUGGACAAAAUGGGAGACAAAAGUUUAUGUAUGCUUCUCUGCACACAAUUGUUAGCCUCGAAAUAAGUGAUCUUGACAUCCCAAGUACCAUUAACUCUUCUUGAUAUUUUAAUCUUGACAAAGACCUAUACUAGAGAGGACACAGGCAUACUCCAUUAAUACCAGAAGGUGGAAGAGAAAACCAGACAAUGUCCGAACUUGGGUUUCCUAUAUUAUAGUUUAGCAAAAACUUGCCAAUGUCCCCUUCUAAUUUGAUGCGACCAAUGCCAUCAAAUUAAAACAGGACUUAACUUUUGUAAAGCCAUUGUAUCUGUUAAACAUGUGGACAUUUGGAUGCACAAAUUCAAACUUGAUUUAUAUAUUUUGUGUUAAUGUUGCAGGUCAAGAAAGCUCUUAGAGGUGUCAAAGUUGAAGUCACUCACAGAGGAAAUGUACGAAGAAAAUACCGAAUUUCCGGGUUGACAACACAGCCUACAAGAGAGCUAAUGUACAAAAUGAUAUCCAAUUAUCCUCUUUUCUUUAUAUUCUCAUAUGCAUAUAUUCUACUAAGCCUGUUAAACAUUUUGGGAAACUAGAAGUUAUCUUUUGAUUUUCUUACCUUCUUUAACAGCUUCCCACUCGAUGGGCAUAUGAACAUGAAAUCAGUUGUUGAGUACUUUCAAGAGAUGUACGGCUAUACCAUUCAGUAUCCUCAUCUACCUUGCCUGCAAGUAGGAAACCAGAGGAAGGUGAACUAUUUGCCGAUGGAGGUACGUUAAUAUAAUAUUUCUAAACGCAUUAUGAAGAUUGUAUGAGCCAAUUCACACAUAUUACACAUAUAUUUCCAGGCUUGCAAGAUAGUCCAGGGACAAAGAUAUACAAAAGGGCUAAAUGAGAAGCAGAUCACUUCUUUGCUAAAAGUUUCAUGUCAAAGACCCCGUGAUCAAGAAUCAGAUAUUUUACAGGUCUACAUCUUCGAUCCACUAAUUGUUUUGCUACUUUCUUGAUAAAUAGAAAACUUACUUUAAGUAUAUAUAUUAGAUCAUGUACUAAAGGAGACAUAAGGUUUAAUUACGUUGUCAUAUUGUCCUAUUCUGUCAUAUGCAUGUCCUUCAUUCACAUAGCUAAUGCUUCAGCUUCAGGAGCUAUGCUGUUAAUUGAUGUUCUUGCAUUGAAAGACAAACUAGUCUCACUAAAAUCUAGAGACUGAUAAUUCACAAAUUAAUGGGAGGGUCUUGAAAUAAAAUAAAAAUUUGUUGUUCACACCAACAACCUGAAGUUUCUUCAAUGUCUUCAGACAAUUCAACAAAAUGGGUACAACCAAGAUCCAUAUGCGAAAGAGUUUGGCAUCAGCAUAGAUAGCAAGCUUGCAUCUAUUGAGGCUCGAGUUCUACCGGCUCCAUGGGUACUGUUCUUUAUCUUUGCACUUUACAUACUUCAUGCUGUUACAGCUUAUUCAUUUCGUUUUGCUUAUUCAUUUCAUUUCUUCCCUCACUAAAAGCUGAAGUACAAUGAUACUGGAAAAGUAAAAGAAUAUCUUCCUCAAGUUGGCCAGUGGAAUAUGAUGAACAAGGUUUGUUGAUAUAUCACAUAUGCAUAAACUAAAUUAGAAUCUUUCUGAAAAUGCUUGUUUACUAGUGACAACGGGAAUGAUAACUUCUUGUUUUAUUCAGAAAGUGAUAAAUGGAAGUACCGUAAGAUAUUGGGCUUGCAUCAACUUCUCACGAAGUGUCCAAGAAACCACAGCUAGAGGCUUUUGCCAGCAGUUGGGUCAGAUGUGCCAAAUCUCUGGCAUGGUAAAAAUUCAUCAUCUUUCUCUAAUGGCAGAUUGGGAUUGCUGAAUCUAACUGUUGAUCAUUUUUGCUUCUGAUUGUCUUACAUGAAUGCCUAAGUUUACAAUUUGAUGUCAUUCCAGGAUUUUAACUGCGAACCAGUACUUCCAAUAUAUUCAGCAAGACCUGAUCAGGUAAAGAAGGCCUUGAAAUAUGUUUAUCAUGCAGCUGCAAAGAAACUUGAAGGGAAAGAACUGGAGUUGCUUAUUGCAAUUCUUCCUGACAGCAAUGGCUCAUUGUAUGGUAUGGUGAUUGGUUCUCGGCUUGUUGCUACAAGUUCAUUUUGCAUGAAUUAAAUGUUAGGUGGACCAUUAAUUUUCUCUAGAAAAAGAAACGAGAAAAUUAUUUGAACACCUUCCUGUAAUUGGAGAAUUUGAUGAGAAAGAUUUAUUCUAACAAUCAGAGAAUGCUCUAUAUUUCAGGUGAUUUAAAAAGAAUUUGUGAAACUGAUCUCGGGUUGAUUUCCCAGUGCUGCCUUACCAAACAUGUCUUCAAAAUUAACAGACAGUACUUGGCAAAUGUGUCACUCAAAAUCAACGUUAAGGUAUGUCAUAAUUACAUUAUCAUUUUGAGGCUUUAGAAACAGAACUUCAAAACUCAGACCAAAUUGAUAACUUUUUUCUCUUAUGUUGAAAACUUUCAGAUGGGAGGAAGAAAUACUGUGCUUUUGGAUGCUUUGAGUUGGAGAAUUCCCUUGGUCAGCGACAUCCCAACAAUAAUUUUUGGGGCUGAUGUAACACAUCCAGAGUCAGGAGAGGACACUAGUCCAUCUAUAGCUGCUGUAAGCCAAUCAAAUUUUGUAUCUUCAAAGGUUAGAGAUGAAAUUGCAGCUUAGUUUUUAUGCAUUUUGCAGGUUGUAGCCUCCCAAGACUGGCCUGAAGUUACAAAAUAUGCCGGAUUAGUAUGCGCUCAGCCUCACCGGCAAGAACUUAUUCAAGAUUUAUUCAAAACAUGGCAGGACCCUCAACAGGGAACUGUCUCUGGAGGCAUGAUCAGGUAAAUGAUUAUAUUAAACACAUGGACUAUAAUUUUUUUACCCUUUUCUUCAGAGAUGUAAUAAUGGACUAUGCAGGGAGCUCUUACUUUCAUUUAAGAAAGCCACUGGGCAAAAGCCAUUGAGGAUAAUAUUUUACAGGUACUGGUAGGCUAAUAUUUUCUCUUCAUUGUUGAAUCAAAAAGUUAGUUGUUCAAAUUGAGGAAGAAAAUUACCUGCAGGGAUGGUGUAAGCGAAGGACAGUUCUACCAGGUUCUGUUGUAUGAACUUGACGCGAUUCGAAAGGUUGGUGAACUGCCAAGUGAUGAUGUUUUUACCAAGUUUGGUUGUUUUUAAGCUUAUAAUCUAGUUUAUUACAGGCUUGUGCAUCGCUAGAACCCAGUUACCAACCUCCAGUGACAUUUGUGGUUGUCCAAAAGCGGCACCAUACUAGACUCUUCACGAGCAAUCACAACGACAGAAAUAGCACUGACAAGAGUGGAAAUAUUUUACCUGGUAAUUCUCUUAAUUUCCCACUGGUGAAAUUUGUACCGUAAUCAUCCAAGUCUUAAAAGCAAGUCUCAAAUUAUAAUUACACAAAAGUUGUUUUAGACUGUGGAUAAGGUGUUAGAUGGUGAUGUGAUCGUAUGUCCAAAUUAGAACAGAAGGUUCCUUUCAGGAUUGAUAAAUUAAAGAGUAGAGAUGCUACAAUCUUUGAUUUCUUCAAUGUAGGUACUGUAGUGGAUUCUAAAAUAUGUCAUCCGACUGAAUUCGACUUCUAUUUAUGUAGUCAUGCAGGAAUCCAGGUAUGCUGCUGAUUAUAUAUAUAAAAAUAUUGUUGAGUUGAGACUCGAAUAAUAUAAAGAUUUGUGUAAAUCGGAAUUGAAAAUUGACAGGGCACCAGCCGGCCUGCCCAUUAUCAUGUGCUGUGGGAUGAGAACAACUUCACUGCAGAUGAGAUUCAAUCUCUGACAAACAACCUCUGCUAUACGUAAGAAGCUAGACUCUGAUGCUUCUCUCAUGAUAUAAAUGCCUCAAAAAUAUUAAAGUUAAUUAAUUUGAUUAUUUUGUGGCAGGUAUGCAAGGUGCACACGCUCGGUUUCUGUAGGUAAUCUCUAAUAAUUUGUUAAUCUGGACAAUUUCUACUUAUUAUUUUCAUUGAGCUUCAUCUCUUGAACAUGGUGAAAAUCUCAGAUAUUACAUGUUGUGCAGUUCCUCCUGCAUAUUAUGCUCAUUUGGCAGCUUAUCGAGCUCGGUUUUACAUGGAACCUGAGGACGCGCCGGAGAAUCCUAAGAUGCGUUGCACACGCGCCGCCAAUGGAUCAUGCGUCCGCCCCUUGCCUGCAUUGAAAGAUAAGGUGAAGAGCGUCAUGUUUUACUGCUAAGAGGAAGAGCGGAAGCAAUGAAAAAUGGCUCGGUACAAAGAAUAAAGAAGAAGAAGGAAAAAGAAAAAGAGAGAUUAUAAGCAUUUGUACAUUGGUAUUCUUAGCUUAUAGUGCAGAGAUUCUCCACUGAAAAUUUUGACCACCCGCUCAGUGGUAAUGAAAUGAAGAGUUCUCAUUUUAAUCAAACUUGCUUAUAAAUAAAAUAUCACAAGUAGAUAAAUGUUUGUUUGGCUUGCAAAUUUAAAAAAAAAAAAAAAAACUAUUUAAAAAUUAAGUUCAAAGCCAUAAUUAAGUUUCACCUUAUUCAUUAUUUGUUUACUUUAGAACUAUUAUUUUACCAAAUAAAUGCAUAUAUUAUCCUUGUUUUAAUAGUCAUAACACUUAUUACUUCUUCUUUAUUAUUUUGGUAAAUUGAAUCCGUUCAGCCAUAAUAUAUAAUUAUUAGAUUAAAUAGCAUGAUUGGUUCAUCCAUUUAGAUAGAAAUAUAAUUUAGAUAAAUAAUUUCGCCAUCUUAAUUCAGUACGGUUUAACUUAUAAAAUUAUUUAAAUACGUUCAACUAUUUAUUUUGAUCACAUGACUCGAUCAAAUAAUUGGUUUAGUCUUAUGGUUCAUUAUUCAGAUGAAUAGUUUAUCUAAAUAGUCAAUACAAGCAUGUGAUUCAUUUAACGCAAGUUUUCUUACGUGGUUUGAUACUCUCGUUUUUUCAUUUUCUUUAAAUUUAACUCUUUUUUUUUUCAUGGGAGACGAUCUGCGUCAAUUGACUAUCGAUGAAAAAAAAAAUAUUGUUGUCCCUAUUAAGAGCUCUAGAAAUAUUCUGAUCGUCACUUAUGAUUUUUGUAUGGUGGAGAUAUUUCUCACAUACAAUCUAAUUAAUUUUCAGAAUAUGCAGAUAUCUUUGACAUAUUUAUGACAUCUUUUGGAGGGGAUUAUGAUACUACAUGUUUUCGUUCUUCUCAACGGUAUGUCUCUAACCACACUCCUGCGAAUGUUAAUUUGAUAGGUAACAGUGAAGCGGUUUAUUCCGUCAAAAGUCAGGAUAGCCGAAAACAAUGAUCGUCCUAUGUAUUUGGUUACUAGUUACAAGUUUAACAUUUUAUUUUUUUAUGGAAACACAAGUUUUAGCUCUCCGUCACUAUUUGCUCUUUUUGCAAUUGAAUUUUUGCUUGUUAAUGGCUGCAUUCUUAUGGAUUGAUUGUAAGUGAUUCAAUUUUUUCAGUUUUCACAUUUAGAUAUUUCUAAAUUGAAUUUGAUUUUAAAUAAUUGUAAAUUUUUGUUAGACUCUAGAAUUGAUAUUUUCUGUUAGAUGGGUUUGUCAUCAUGCUACUCUAAUUGCUCAUAUUUUAGUUAAAGAAUCUAUUAGAUAUGAUCAUUUCUCUAUUUGGGAUGAUAUCCCUCUUUAUUUAAUAAAAUUAAAAAAAAAAAAAACAUGUGAUUCAUUUUGCCUAUAUAAUACUCCUAUCACAAAAGAUUUAUAUUUCAACUUAUUCUCUCAAAUAUAAUUAUGGUCGUUUGUAAAAAUAGAUUUAUAUUUUUCAAUUAUGAAAUAAAGUUAUUUUUUUUAGUAAUUGGUUUCAAAUUUUUUAUUCACCUCUUCCUUACAUUAUUUAUAAAAAAAAUUUUAUUAAUACAAUAUUAGUUUUUUUAUAAUUUCUAGAUUAUUAAAAAUUACAAGUAAUAAAUAAUUAAUUUUUAAAAAAUACAAAAAAUUAAUAUAUAAAUUUUACUAGACUAUAAAAAUUAAAUGGUAUUUCGCUUUACCACUCUUAAUGAAGCAUGAGUUUUGUGAAUCAAGAUUAAAGAUAGAUAAUCAGUUAUUUUGUAUUAAAGGAUUCAUGUCUUUCAACUGUAAAAACAAAACUUAAUUUUUUAUUUAACUAGUCUCUUAAUAUUUUUAUUAAUCUUCCAAUUUAUAAAAACGCCACAAAUAUGAACUCUAGACCCAUAAGAAAUCUUGACGCAACACUCAUAUCCAAUAAAACUCCAAAAACACUCCACACCAAUAUCUCUAAGCCUUAUCUGAGUUUUUAAUUGAAACUUGAACAAAAGGAGAUACUCUCUCAAUUGUAGCUGAAGUCAGAGCAGAGCCAUCAUACUAAAGACGGGAGAAAAGCAUCGCCACCAUUGAGCAACAUGGCCAAAGCUACCUAGAUUCGAAGAUGAGCAACACUAAUUAGAAAGAGAAUGCAUGCUUCUCUAAGUUAGAUGGUAACAUAGACAUUGGACGCUAGGGAAAGAGAAGAAUUACACUUCUACAAUCAAGUUGAGCAUCUGCACCAAAGCCAAGAGGGAGAGCCUCCAAAACCUAUUGAUACAUGUGGAAGAAAAAAGAAGGAUGCAUGACAAACUCGAUGCGCCAGAGUAGUUGCUCCUUCACCCAUCCUCUCAUUUCCACUGCUUAAUGACACCAUUGAAGUCCAAAACAUGAAAGCCCUCCAUAUUUGUAAAAAAUACGACUAAAAUACAGUAAAAGAGAAAAAAAAAUUAACAAUUAUAAUCAAGCCUUCUUUAAGUAUCGCGGUCACUGAACAACCCAAAAUUAAUAUUUAUAACUUUCAUUUAACGGAAAAAGACUAGAUACCUCAAAAGAAAUUUUCUCUUUAAGAGAAGAUAUAGACUCUCAUUCUUUUUGUUGAUCAUUUUUUAUUGAAAAAUUAACUAUUUAGUCUUUAUGGUAUAAUAAAAUUCACUAGUUAAUUUUUUUUAUUUUAAAAAAUAUAUUAAAAUACUCUACGUUUUAAAAAAUUUAUUAAUUAGUUUUUUUAUUUAUUUUAAUCAUUAAAUAUUAUAAAAAAGUCUAAAAUAGUCAUAAUAUUAAGGGACUAAUUAGUAAAUUUUUUUUCAAAACUUAAAGGAUUAACUAAUGAAUUUUUUAAAACUAUAUGAAUUAAACAGUAAAAUAUUUAACGAUUAAAAUUAAUGGAUGAAUUAAUUAGUAAAUUUUUUAAAAUAUCAGUUUAAUAUAUUUUUAAUGAAAGAGUAACCAUAAAAAUUAAAUAAUAAUUUUUUUAAUUUUUAAAUUUGAGUCCAUGUUGAAUAUGAAUAUAAUAGUGUUGUACAUGUUAGUGAUUCAAGGCUGAGGCAAGCCUACAGUUGGCUUGCAAAUAGAAAAAAGUUCUAUAAGAAGUUCUUUUUUUUUUUAAAAAAAAAAUUGCAAUUAUUAUUUGUACAUUUUUUUAGAAGAUAUGACAUUAAGCAUCUCAAAUACUAAACCACGCAGUAAAUGUAGCAGCUCGAAUUGGAAUAAGGUUGACAUUAAUCUCUAUUUUUCAUUUGUACAAAAACAAAAGCAGACAAAAAACUUCACAAACUAAGGCCAGAGGAAAAGGCAAUCCCAGCCAUGUUCAGGCCUUUCAUGUUGCAAUUUGGGACUGGAAUCCAAUUCCAAUAGCCCCUCCCUAUGUCAUAAGACAGCCAUAUUAUAUCCCAUAAACCUUCGUAAUUAGACAAUAAAACUGCCCUAAUUAUCUCUUCUCUGCGCUCUAAGCACCCCAUUAUUACCCUAUAUGGCUUCUUAAUCUCCUCAAUUAUUUUACUUGGAACUUUCGAAUCACGCUCCCACUGUCCACCGCUUGUCACCAAUCCCCAUAAUUCUAUAUCAUUUAACAUUCUCGCUCCUGUACUCGCAUCACCUACUCCGUUUGAUUUUAUGAUUAACAUGUGUCCAUCACCAUACACGUGUAGCCGAUCAAUCACAUUCCCCCAGCUGAAUCCAACGGUUAGUUGCUGCCCAUCUUCUCUUCCACCCUCAAAUCUUGGCCGCACAACUAUUGGAGCAUCAAAUGUUUCCAAUCCGGCUAUCAUUAUUACGCUUUCGUACGGUCCAUUUACUACGUUGAGAAAUAUGUAAUUACCCUCUCUUUGGAAUCCACGUGGCAAUCUUUCAAUAUUUUCUCUUGCUUCUAUAGAAAGCCAUUUGUCAGUUUCGGACGAGUAUAGAAACAAAACCGGCCGAUUCUCCACUAGCUCCGCAAACAAAAAACGGAAACUAUUCGACCCGGAAACUAGUUUCAUCCCGGAUCUUCGCCAGGAAGACGUGCCACGUGGACCCAAUGGACUUGGAGGUAUCUUUUUAACCGUCUUGGCAGACAAAUUAACGGCAAUAACUUCCUUGCGACUGUUAAAAGAAAAGAGGAAAACGUCGCCACUUGCAGCUAGAAAAUAAAUGCUCUCACCUGGAGAAAUCAGGGGUUUGAGUAAAUUAGCAAUUUGCAGCUUGAACCAGCGAUCAGAUUGAUCGGAAAAUCCGUGAAGAACUGAGUCGCGAUGCCAGCGUUUCUUGAAGACGAAGAGCCAAGUGGUAGACCUUGAUCGCAAAUUGUAAUAGCGUACGAAAAUUUGAUCGGAGAUUAAAUCAGAAAAAGAUUUGUUGAGAGAUUUGAUAAAAAGGAUUUCGGGUAUAGCGAGAUUGAGGAGUAUGCGGUGGAUGAGUUCUGAAGGAAGAAGGCAAAAUCCAACCGAAUUUGGCAAAUUUCUAGGAUUUUCCAUCAUGGGUUAAAGGUCAGAGACAUGAAACUUCGAUUAUAUAGAGGCAACACAGGUGGAUUCAUUAAUGAUUAUAGAUUUUUUUUUUCGUGAUUAUGUGAAGGGCUAAUGAAGUGGAAAUUAAAGGACAAAUGAUCCAACAAAGCAUCCCAUGCGGGGGACUUAUAAUAAUAUCGGGAAAGGGACGGUGGAAGGCGGUUGAGACAUUGGAUUUUGUUUUUACGAAAAGGUUGACCUGUGCAUUACAUUCAAUACUUCUAAAAAUAUUAAUAAUUAAAUGAUUAAGAUGAUUUUAAAAGUAAAAAUACGUGUAAAUUAAACAAUUAUUAGGCUCCAGUGGUGAUAGUGACGUGGCCUUUAAAAUGCUUAUGCUGGACAAAGCAGGCAAGGCAAUAAUUAAUUUGAGAGGGAUGAAUCGUGUUGAUGGGUUGAUGAGAGGGACGCUUGCUGGAAAAAUUUAUACAGUGCCCAUGUCGCAACUUAAUAAGUAUAUCAUUUCAAUUAUUUAUUUAUUUUCUAAAACAAUACUGAUUAGUUUUUUAAUGUGACUCGCUAAUUAACUUUUUAUUUUUUGGAUUUAUUUAUAUAAAUUUUCCUACAUAAAAUAUUGUAUAAUGACGCCACUUGAUGUGAACCUUCCUUUAAUGACAGUGGAUUAGAACUUUCUCAGAUAAGCAGGGGUUUUGGUUUUCUUUAAAGAUUGCUUUUGUGGUCAGUGAUGAGUAUGGAAAAUACAUUUGGCUCCUAAGGGAAAAAGUAUUAAACUAUGGAAAGGAAACAAAAAGAUGGGAAUUUAAUUGGUUUUUUUAAUUAUGUCAAGUAGUAUUUAAAGUCCACUUAAAAAUAAGUGGACAAAAGAUUGAAUUCAAGUUCUCCAUAUUGAAUAAUGUUGUUAAUCGAGCUGACUAAACACUUCGGUUGAGAAUUUAAUUGUUGGAUUAUGCUACUCCAAUGAAAUAAAUUUUGCAACCCAAUACUCAAUUUUUUAAGACAGUGUUAAUGAAAUUUCAGAAUAUGUGAGAGCUCAGCUUCGUUUGCGGCUGUCCUUUGUGCUUAUGUGAAGAGUCAAAUUACCUAUCAACCACUAGAGGAUAUGACCUGGGAAGUAAAAUGGGAUUUGAACUUCUUUUUUUUUUUAACACUGUUUCUCUCUAGUCUUUGUGGAAAAUGUGUUGGAUCCCAUCAUCGGUAAACAACGGGAAAAUAGAAGAGUUUAAAAAAGGGGGGAAUAAAUGAGUCGAACCAAAAAUGGGUGAUUUUGGUAGAGGUGAAUCCAUCUGUAGAAGUUCAAAAUACUGUGCUCCAGCUUAUCCACAUCCCUUCAACUGCAAGUACAAGAUAGGCUGGUUUUUGGGCAGCCAUUUCUCUGUCCUGGAUCAAUUCCACAAGAGUUGAUGGGAACUGGCCCAACAAAUUUGUGCCUGAUGGGCUGAUUUAUUCGCGGCCUGCAAGUGAACGGUCCCCACUGCGUUUAGCUCAGCCUGGGAAAUGCAGAAAAUCAUAAAAUUCUAGCUCUAGAUAUUUUUAGCUCUCUGAAACUAACAAAUAAGCGGAGAAGCAAUGGCUGCUCCGCGCUCUCUCCACCACCAAAAUAGACCACCCGUAUACUCGGACAACAUCUUUCUUAGGAAUCCCACAAACUGAACCUCCGGUAUUAAAGCCACCAACCAGAACAACACCAGCAGCCCAAAUCAACCGCAACCAUGUCUUGUUUCCCUGGAAAAAUGCUCCAACAUGUUCCAGCUCAAGGAUAUCCACGCCCAAAUGCUCAGAAUGGCCUAACCCUUUGAAGCCAGUAAAAUUGUGGGCUUUUGCGCUUCUCUGGAAGCCUCCAUUAUGCUCGUCUCGUCUUCUCUAAAAUCCACAAUCCCACACCCUAUACUUAUAAUUAUUCUAGAAAGGAAUUCAGAUGAGAAAUUAUGGGCAUGUCUGGGUAAUUCCAAACAGCUGUACAAUGACAAUUAGAUCUAGGCAAUUCAUGGAAAUAAAGUCGAGAAUUCUCAAGCAAUUUCCCAAAGAACUCAAUCUUGAAAUCUAGCAUUUAUGAGUACAAAAUCCCACAGCCAGCUUCCCAGUAAUAAUGUAAAAUGUGAAAACACAAGACUUCAAGAAAGCAACAUAGAAGAAACCCAAACUGUUAAUAGAAGGCCAAAGCUUUAUCUAUAGUAAAGGAGAUAAAAUAAAGAUAUAGCGUAUGUAAGAGGGAUAAUGUUUUUAAAGGAAGAUGCAUAAAACUUAGAUACUCCUUAGUCUCUAGUACUAGAGAUAAAACUUCCAUUCAUUACGAGAGACCUCUUCAAGCAUACCAAGCUAAAUAGAUUAAGAAAACAGAUGAAAUAAUAGUUCUAAUGCAAAAACUUGCUUACUAGAUAUGCUUCUCCCUUAUUUCUCCUCGUCACCACUAUUUUGUUUGACAAGUUGCCUUUCUUCAUCGCCAUCAUUCUCACUGUUUGUCGGCUUAGGAACAGGCGCAGCUGCAGGUCUACUAACUGACUGCUGAUAGAGGACACCGCCAGCAAGAGUGAAGAGCAGGCAAAGCAAACCAAAUGGACUAGCAUGCUUAUCCCAAAUGAGCACAUUGAUCACAACUGUAAGAAACUUAUUCACCACACCAGUCACAGUGAAUGCUGUUGCAGAUAUUGCCUUUCUUGCUGCAAAUCCAAAGAAACUAAUAGCCAAACCAAAAACACAGGACAAUGAAACUGCACAAAUUGCAUCCAAUUGGAUCCAAUUCCCAGCCUUUGAUCUCAAAGAAGCAAACACCUCACUAUACUCGCCUGUGAGAAUCCAGAACAGCGGAGCCAUCAUCAAUGACAACGAAUUGUUGUACAACACAAGAUCCCAUGUGUUCAAUCCAACAUUUGUCACAAUGUGUUUGAUGUAAACCAUCUCCAAAGUGAUGGUGACUAAAUAAGCAAAUGCCCAAGAAUAGGCUGUCAAAGUAAAAGCAGAAUCGGUGGCUACAUACCCAACAGCACCACCCAAAAUGACAAACAACGACAAGGAAGUAAGCUUCGAUGGGAUGGGUUGUUUUCUAAAUACACUAUCAGCAAUAGCAACCAAAAGGGGCGUCAAGGAUCUGAACACUAUGAAAGUUUCCACAUUGGCAUGGCGCAAAAGGUUGGUAUUUGUAAAGAUUGCAAGGUAGAAAACAAUUGCAGCCGGUAAGAACUUCUUGGCAGUUUCAUAUGUGAAGGGAUCAUGACGCAAAAAUCCUAAUUUGCCAAAAAACCAGACGGCCAACGCAGAGGUCAAAUACUGUAAUGCAGUUAAAAGACCUGGAUAGUUGAAUGUGGUGAUAGCAAACUUAUUAAUCACAGCAAGGAAACUUGAACAGACAGCGUAACCCAAUACAAGACUGCUCGUGGCUAAUUGCUUUGUGGAGUCGACUUUGGCAGAAGACAUUUGCAACCCCUUUGUGCGUUUGAGUUGAUUGCGGAUAUUCUGAGGAAGAAUUUAGUAGAUCGUUGACAAACAAAAGAGGCAAAUAAGCGUUAACUGAGGCAUCUGCGGCCAUUACUAAUGAAUAUGAACUGGAAAACGACUUGAAUGCCCAAAUUCCGAGACAUGGAUAGCUAAAAUCGCGUUGAUCCAUUACAACAAAAGCAGAGAAAUCGAGAGAAGUGAAAAAAAAAAAAAUCAAACGCUGAAACCGCUGAUUAUGAUUAUAAGAGCAGUAACGGCAAAAUAGGGAAAUGAAAUCAAGAAUGAGAAGAGAGAGACAGAGUGGUGGGUGUAUCACCGACACGAAACCGGAGAGAAGACGGGAGACAGAUCGCAGAUCCUGAUUGGUGGCAGUGCAUGGUCAAAUACGUUCUUCGAAUGGAAAAAACAAAAAAAAGUACUUGAUUUUGUGUUCAUUUAUUUCUUCCCCUGUCCACGAGGACUUGCAUUUAAAUUAUUUUCAUUUUUUUCUCCUCUUUUCUUUUUUUUAACAUUUUUUUAAUUCUUUAUUUACUUUCCCACUGUCUUUUCUUAUCAUUUUCUUGUAUUUUUCUCUCAUUUUCUUUCUACCCCACCUUUCCUUUCUUUCAUUUCCUAUCUUCCUUUCCUAUUUCUUUUUAUUACUUUCACUUUCUUUUCUUUUUUAAGUAUUUUUUAUUUUCUAUUAUUUUUUCUAUUUUUAUAUUUUUUUAUCAUCAGGUUUUCUUCUCCCUUUAACUUUGCCAUAACAUUUUCCAUUUUAAUUAACAUAGUAUUUCUUUAUUUGGUACCAUCAUUUUUUCUCUUUUGAAAUAGGUUUUCUCAGUCAUUGUAUUGCUAAUAAUUAUUAGACAUAAAAUAAAAUAUAUUUAUAAUAAAAAAAAUAUUUUAAAUCUCACAGAUAAUUAAAAUUUUUAUUAUUUUAAUUGAACAUUUAUUUAUUAAAAAAUACCAAUAAAUUUUAAACCCGUUUCAGAUUUAUUAGCGAAGUUACAUAAAAUUUUUUUUUAUUACAUAAUUAUGGUAAUAUUUGAUGGUUCAGCAACAACCUGCAUCAUUCAUUACAUUCUAAUUACUGCAAUUACAGCCUUAUGAUGCAAGUAUCUUGUUGGUUAAAUCUAAUUAUAAAGAUAAAAUUCCGAUCGAGGUUUGAUUGUUUCUUCUCUUAAUUGCAUGUUUGACUUAAUUUAUAAAUUCAUCCAAUUAACUUGUCUCUAUUUUAAUCUAAUUUAUUUAUUAAAAAAUAAUUGGGGGCUUGCAAAGAUUCUCAUUAGAUCACUGAAUUAAUAUAGAAUUAUCAAAAUGACGACACCGAGCAGUCAAGUACAUCUCAUCUCAUCAUCUUGCAGAGAUGCAAAACCGUACGAGUUUGGCUUAGAGUUAAUAACCUGACAUCUAGCAAAAAACCCCGCAUGAUAAUAGAUAAUUACUAAUAACAAUUAAUUAACGAGCUAAUUAUGAUGAUUAUGCUGCUGGGGCACAGUCAAAAUCAUCGUCAUCGUCAUCAUCACCCUCCAUGGAUGCAGCAGGCGCAUAGUCAUAAUCUCCAUCGUCAUCGUCUCCAUCACCUUCUAUGCAUGGCGCGGGUGCACAAUAAUAACCAUGUUCAGCUUCAUCGUCUUCAUGGAAAUUGAACCAAGUGGAAAUGGCUCUGGAGACUAGAGACAUUGUAGAAGGUAUAUAUUUAAUUUGGUUCAAAGGAGAAGGGAAAAAAGAGCAAGAACAGGAAUGGAAUUAAUCAAUGGCUAUGGUGGUGUCUGAAAGGAAAAGAGAUGUGGUUCAUAUAUAUAGAGUGAUAGAGAGGGAGGAGGAAGGUGGUGGUCUCGCUUUGACACAAGUCAGGCACGUGGGGUUUUGUGGGCUAAGAGUUCAAGGUUGUGCCACACCCCAUGUCUUGGUAGAGAUAGUGCUCAAUGGUGGUCCAGGGUGCUAGGGUUCCAAGUGACAGUUCAGCAGACACGUCAGAAAAGCCAUUUGUGAACUGCAACAAAAGGUCCAACGAGGUGUGAGAAUUGGGUUGCCAAAAAAAGAAGUGAGACUUGGUCAAGUUGGUGGGCUAGUGGCAACAUUAGUGGAAGAUUGAGCCGACUGGAUAUGCUUUUGAUGGUUUGAAAAUACUUGAAACACAAACGAAAUUGCAUUGCCACCAAAUAUAAUGAUAAUCUUCCUUGACGCAGGACUGGAACAUUCAUGAUUUAAAAUUAUUUAUUUUUUCUAAAAAAACUUAUGCUGAUUUCUUUUAUUUUUUUAUUAUAAAAAUAAAUAAAUAAACAAUAUAUUAUAAAUCAAUAUCUUAUAAAUUUAUAUAUUUCAUCCAUUCUAUAAUUUUAAUUUAUCUUUUCAUUUUUUAAUUGUCUUAAAAUAUUACUAAACAUAAACAUAGCCAAAAUAAUUGUCAAUCCCACUAAUAUAAACUCCCCCAGGGUUAAUUUGAGGGCUUUAAAAAACAAAGGGUUUCAAGCAGCAGGAGCAUAGUCAGAAUCUCUAUCACCAUCGUCAUCCCCAUCACCUUCCAUUGAUUCUGCUAAGCCAGUCACAUUCUCCAUGACCAUCGUCUAUGGCCCAUGCCUUCAAAAGAAGAACAUUAUCUUCACGCACAUUCUGAUGAGCGUGGUUCAUGUGUGAAGCAAAAAUCACCAUUGCAGUGUGAAUCAUGUUUGUCUUGAACCGAGUGGAAACUCAGCUUUGUGUAGGAGAAGGAUCCUUGAGAGUUGAAAUGAGAAGAUGAAAGGUUAUAUAAAUAGAAGUAAAGGUGAAGAAUGAGCCGGGCCUGAAGGAAUGUCAAUGGGGAGGUGUGGCUGGACUCCCAAGAAUUGUGCAAGGCACGUGAAGUAGAGUGCCACUUGAUGCCUACGUGGCAUACUACGUGUGAAAAUCAAGAACAUGAGUCAAUGUGGACAAAAGUAAGUAUUCUUGGUAUAUAUUUCUUGAUUUGCUGAUGGAAAGCUACUUGCGAUCUUUAUUCUCGACUAGCAGAUUUUAAAAAAAAAAAGAAAGAAAGAAAGAAAAGCACUUUAGUUUGGACUUAGGACAUCGUCCUAUUAAAAUUUUUUUAAGGCAACAAUAAUAAAAUUAUUAUUUUAAUAUUAUUAAAAUAUCCGUGUAUAAUAAUUUAAAAUUAUUAUAAAAAAAUUAUAUUUAUCAUAUAUAAUAAUAUAAAUUAGUAAUGGCUAAUUUUAUAUUUAAUAAGACUAUAUUUUUAUUUGCUGUAAAAAUAUAAAUUAAAUUGCUACUCUAUAUUAUGACAAAAAUGCGAAAAGAUGAAUUCUGUAAUAGAUGAGUCAACCUUUCAUCUCAAGAUUUUUAGUCAAAUUGCUCUUCUCUCUCCAGUUUAACUCUAGUUUUAAACUAGAGAGAGAAACUCUUUGUUUUGGCAUUUUGUCUCUACGACUUCAGUUUGCUUGUUUCUGUCUCUUUUGUGCGACCGUUCUCUGCCUCUUUUGGAUAGAGGAUGGCCGUCCCGUCCUCCACCCAGAGAGUAGAUUUAUUCCCUCUCCAUCUCUGAGCGUGGUUGUGUGAAUAAACAAACAUUUUUUUCUUUCUUUGCAGAUAUGUGAUUUUUAGUGAGGGAUUCUCUUUAUCUACUGGGUUUCAAUUUCUAUGCGUGUGUUCUGUUGGUUUGUGUUAUUGUGUUGCAUGUAAAGGAGCAAGAAAGUUUCUCACCCUUGUCGUCUGUUGUGUCCCAGUAGGUAGCCAAUCUAUUUUGAUUGUGGAAGGGUUCCUUAAUCUUGGUUCGUGGAGUAUCCUGGAUUCUUCUAUUGUCUCUUUCUUGAAAAAUCGUUGGAUCCUUGUGGCUUGAAGACUGCCGACGUGAUUUCCAUUGCGUUUUCUUCCAGAGCUCAGGCAACGAUUUAUUCUUUAAUAGUUUUGGCUUCUGUGACUCAUACAGGACCCUGGCGUGGCUUGGUGAUGCAGAUCUAGCACUUCAUAGUUGUUUUCCUUCUUCGACGAUUUGUUGUUUCUUCCUCUUAGCUAGUUCCAAGCUCUGACUUUUCAGAGCCAUCCUGCCACUGAAAAGUUAAGGCUUAGUUUAGUUUGGAUUGGACUUAGUCAUGUGGACUUAGACCUUUUCUAGUUUUUAAUAUGUAGCUUUUUUGUCUGUUUGAGUUUUCUAGCCUUUUAUGUAUUAGGUGUACUAAGUUUAAGAUGUCAUGAAUAAAGCAAGGUAUAUUUAUUUUUCUUUCCCUUUUGUAAACAUCUGGAUUUUCUGUGAGGUUGAGGGCAUUUUUGUCCAAGAAAAAGAUUUAGUAUGAUGAAUAUUUGCAUAGAUAGAAUACAUGGUCCAUUUCUAGCCAAACAAAGAUUUUGUUAAAAAGCCUGAAUUGUGAAAUUACUCGGGGACUCCUCUUAAAAUUUUACUUUGCAAUUUCACCUUUUCUUUCAGGAUCUUUUCUUAUUUUUCCCUAACUAAGAUCGAGUUGCAACACUUGACCAGUCUUAAAAUGAAAAUAACAGAAAUAGAUAUAUGAGAUCCACAAGGAAGAAGAAGAAGAAGAAGAGGGAGAAGGUAUUUGGUUGUUGCAUGCUUUGGGAAUAAGAUAAACGGGUGAUUUGGGCUUUUUCAUUAAAAAUAAAAAAUAAUAUGAAUAUUCAAAAUAUAAAAUUAAUAUUUUAUUGACAAAAUUUAGAAAAAGUAUUAUUUCAAUAUUUUUUGUUUAAUAUUUGAAAAUGAGUUUAAUUGAUCUUACUUAGAAAGUUGUAGAUCAAUUUGAGCCAAAAAGUUAUUUUAGGCUUUACUUGAACAUACCUAAAAUAUAUAAGGGCAAAUUUGAACUUUUUGCAUAAUGUCAAAUACUGUUGAUAACAUAUCAAAGUAUCAAACACAAUUUGCCCAAGUCCUAAACUAAAGGAAACACUUAUGAGAAGCAUACUAAGUCCUACAGAACGAAAGAAAGCAAGUAUAAGCUAACAAUUUAAACUUGCAUGAGCCUCAUCUAACAGCAUGUUUUGAACAAAUCCAUGGUUGUAGUUUGCCUUGGAAAUGGAUGCAGAGCUAUUCCUUGGAAGAUUUGUUGAUAAGUGACUUGUGAAUGUGAGGGAUGACUCCACCACCAGCAAUAGUACCCUUAAUCAGAGUAUCAAGUUCUUCAUCGCCUCGAAUUGCAAGCUGCAAAUGCCUGGGAGUGAUACGUUUUACCUUCAGAUCCUUGCUAGCGUUUCCAGCCAAUUCCAACACUUCUGCAGUCAAAUACUCCAAAAUAGCUGCAGAAUAAACAGCAGCUGUUGCUCCUACCCUUCCAUGAGCAGUGGUCCUUGACUUCAGCAAUCGAUGGAUUCGACCAACGGGGAACUGCAAGUUACACAAGAUAGCAGAAAAUUCCAAAAUGAAGGAAACAGCAGAAACGCGACUCAUCAUAAUAUAAUCCAACAAAGAUCACCAAAUAGAAGAAAAAAAGGCGACAGAGAGCACAUAUAAGCUGCGGACAGAAUCACCACCCAAUGCGCCCCCAGUACCUGAUCAAGGCUCUGUUCAGCAAGAACUGUUUAGAGUUUUCACUUAGGCUAAACAUUACUAAAACAAUUAACAGCUACUAAAAAAGCUAGUAUUGCUGAAUAGGGGAAACAAAGAUGCAAAACCCGAACUUCCCAGUCAUUAAAGUUCAUGCUUGUUUCCUAGGUUGACACAUUAAGUAGCUUUUUGCAAAAACAAACAAGAUCACCACUAAACCAAUUCACUAAGGAGUUCCCAAAGUUUCUCCCAAUUGAUAAGAUUAAUCUGCAAUAACUUUGGAUGGAAGCCAAAGAGGCUUCAAUUGUUUAAGAACUCCCAAAACAUACUGGCUGCUGAAUGAUAGGCACUUAAAGCCCCAUAGUUGUGAACAAAUUUAUAGUCCCUCUGUUUUUUUAUUAUCUGUGGUUUAAGGUUUUUACACACGAAUUAAAGAGGUCAAUAAAUACACUAAAUUUUAACAAAAAUAGAGAUAAAAAUACUAUAUUACCCUUUUAAUUAAAAUUUUCAUAUAAAUAGUAUGAACCUAAUUAAUAUUCCACUUGGGUAAAUUAGGAAAUAAUAUAUCUAAUGAAGUAUUGGAAUCAUAAAAAAAACUACUAAAAAGACAGCUAAAAGAAAAGAGGGAGCACAACAUAAUUCACCUGACCUGCAUAUGGGAUUCAGGGCACCUUCUUUCCAAACAAAGAUAAAAAUCUAGUGAAGGCUAAAGGCCCUAAUCUAACAGCAAAAUUUGGAAACACAGAGCAAAUAAGAGUUUCAUUUUCAUUGGAGUAUUACGUUUUCUCUAAGAAAUGUUAACCUCAAGCCUUGGAAUAAGGUCACAGAGAAAUCACACCCCAUAAGAGAAUUAAAUUAUCAAAAGAUAAUUCUUUAGACCAUAAAGUUUUAUGUUAACUAACAAAGGCAGGAAACGAAAACAGAAAAUGAAGUGCUCUACGUUCAUACACUAGUCAAAGUUGUAAUAGCUCAAAAGCUAAACAUAAAUUGCAAAUCAAAAUCCCAAACAGUUUCAGAACCUUAAACCCUCAACUUUAAAGAAGGUAAGAAAAGAAGAAGAAAAAAAUCCAUGAAACUGUGUCAAAUUCAAAUACAAGAAGAAAAGCAUUCAAAGAAAGAAGACAAACAAAAAAAAAAAAGCGUAAAGAGAGAGAGAGAGAGAGAGAGAGAGAGAGAGACCUGAAGGCCAGCGCGAGAAGAGCGAGAGGUGGGUUUCUUCUUGUCCUUAUCCUUGUUGGUAGCUGAGGUUUUGCCCGUAAUCAAACCCUUGGCGCCUUUACCCGACAUCUUAACCCGCGAAAAAACGAAAACCCAGAAACCAGUUAUUUACUUAGAUACGAGGAAAUUGAAGACAGAGGCGGUCUGAGUCAAUCAAGCGGAGAACAAAACGCAAAACUUCCAGUCUAUGAGGCGAGGGACUUACAGACUUGUGAAUAGGAAAAGCCGAAAAGGGAGAGUAAUUGACUUAAAUAACCCUACUCUUUCACCAAAAUUUCUACCAUGUAUUUUAGUCAAUUGUCUGGUUGGAUAACUUCAGGUUGACUCCUCGAUGUUCGCGACAUUGAUGUUGCUUGCAUUCUGUACACACUAAUCCUUUUGACGGGAAAUUAUUUUUACGCUUUGUGAAAAUUACAUAUAUAUUUUUAUAUUUUUAAAUUUUGAAUUUAUAAUUUUUAUAUUUUUACUCUAUUAAAUUAUUUUUUUAUAAAAAUUAUAUAUUUUUUCACUUGAUGAAAUUAAAAUGCAAAAAUUAAAUUAUUUAUUUUUAAAAAUUAAAGAAUAUAAAUAUUAAUUAUACAUUAUUUAAGGAUUAAAAGUUAAUAUAUAUGUAAAGAUAUUUUUAUCAUUUUACAAAUAAUUAAUAUAAAUUAGAGGGAGAAAGCUUAAUUCAAUUCGAUACAAUUAAAAUAUAUAAAUUAAAUUAUUAAAAAUUUAAAAAAUAGAAAAAUAAAGGUAUUAAUUUUAAAAUCUUAUACACUUAUCUAAAUUAAAUAAUAAUAUGUAUGUAUAAAACUAAUAUUUUUUUAUUAAUUUGUAGUAGCCUAAAUGUAAAAAUAAUUUUACUAAUUACAAUUUAUUAAGCAAUUAACUAAAUAUGUAUAAUUGUGAAAAGAAACAUAAAUAAUUUUGGCUAAAUGUAAAAUUUCAUCCCUAUAUCUAUUAAAACGUUCAAUUUCUUGGGUUAUUGACACUGACUUUUGGGUCACUUGUCCUAAUGGGCUCAAGAAGCCAAUGUUAUAAUUGGGCUUAGUAGCUUUGGGCCCAUUAGUAACUCUACAAGUACGCCUAUAACUCGCAUUUCAUUUGUCUUGUUCCCAAAGAAAUUCCUCCAGGCCUAAUACCUGAUUUCACCCAAAGCUUGUAAAUCUUGCAUCAAUGGCGACGGUAGGGGUGGAGAUGAAGCAGCCGGAAUCAAUUAUGGUGGAUGAAACAUGCUCCGCCAAGGCGGCGGGGAAGCAAGGGGAGGGGCUCAGGCAAUACUAUCUACAACACAUCCAUGAGCUCCAGCUACAGGUCCGCCAGAAGACUCAUAAUCUUAAUCGUCUGGAAGCUCAGCGCAAUGAGCUCAAUUCCAGAGGUACGUGCUUGCAAUUUGUAUUAUUUAUCCUUACUAUGAUACAUAUUGUGUAUAAUUGAAUCUAAUCUAGGUUUUGUAGGCGUUUAUCCUCGUUGAUUUCAUUUUUGGUUAUGGGGGGGUUUCAAUCUUCUCACAUGGAUUUAGUAGCUACGGUUUGGCGCUCUGAUUGCGUUACCGUUUUUGUUUUUACAAAACUUUUGGUAUGGACUCAGCAACGAGCAUUGUUUCGGAUUUAAUAUCUUUGACAGCCUUUGAUGAGGAAUUAUUUAGCUAGGACACUGGGGAUUUUUUUAUGUGAUUCAAUCUAGAAAACUAGAAGCAGAACUAUAUUAUAACCUUGUUGAAUUUCAGAUGCUAUUUUUAUGAGCUGAACCAGAUAACUUCUAGUGAUUUGCAUCCUGAGCUCAACAUUCUUGUGUGCUAUAAAGUUAGUCAUAAUUAGGUUAAGGUUAAGCAAUAUGCUUUAAUGCCAACUUUGUGGGCCUUUUGGAACUUGCAAAUUGGUUCGUAAAGGUAACGGUGUCUGUUGGAAGUGGAACUUGUGUCUUUUCACAGCAUUACCCUAUAGUUGAAUCAUUAGCUCUUUUAGCUUGUUGCUUCUGUAAUGAGGUACAGAUAACAUGGCAGGACAUAUUAUUAAGCUGUAAUUCCUUUUAAUUAAGUUGAAUUGUUCACUUGGUCAAGUGUUUCUACUUGUUUAAUAUUUCAUAUUUGAUUUGGCCAGUGAGAAUGCUUAGAGAAGAACUACAGCUGCUUCAGGAGCCUGGUUCAUAUGUUGGUGAAGUUGUCAAAGUAAUGGGAAAAAAUAAGGUGUUGGUUAAGGUACUGAGCUUCUUCCACUGCUAGCUUAGUAUUUUUGGUCCUUAUAAUGCAUGUUGAUAUGUUUGUUAGUUAUCAUACAAUGAUUCAAGUUUUGGGUUCUUUGUAUUAUUAAGAAAAUAAACUUAAAGUUCUAGCUUUCCUUUCUUGGAUUUGCUUAUUGUGAAAAUUUUAUUUUGCUCCCUCUUUUGUCAUAAUUUUAUGAACUUGUUAUAUUCCUUAAAUGUUUGGAUAUGCUACAAUGUUUUCCUGUUUAUUACCAAAGAGGGAUAGUCCAAUAAGCCUUUCAUAAAUUAUGUGUAUUAAUUUCUUUUUUGUCAUAUACAAAUAUGAUUUACUAACAAUUAUCAUAAAAUCAUCCAAGCACACAUACAAAACCACUACUGUGUCAACUUUGUAGUUAUAUAAAUAUAUUGGGCAUGGCUGAAAGCAGAGAACAAUAUUGACUUUAACCUUUCUUUUGUCCUAAUUGCUUAAUAUUUUAUUUGUGCUGUCAUCUACUAUGUCAGUCCAUUGGUUAGUAUUACCUACCGCCGGCUGUUCAUAUAGGCUCAAUGAGUUUAAGUUAAUUGUGUAGUGCAACUUACAUAAGUGUCUCAUGCUCAAAUCUACUUUAUAAUAUAUCUAUAUUUUUAGACUCAUCUCCCCAUAUAUGAACGUGUUACGGUCCCUUGAUAUGGAAAUAGUUAUGGGUCUAUGUGUUGGGGUAUUUGGUUGGAUGGAUGAAGGUUGCGAAGGAUUUGAGGGUGUUUUCUUUUGGUGACCUAUGUUGGAGAUAAUAUUUAGAUUCGUUAGUGAGAACCUGGACCUCUUGAGUUUAGACUACUCAAAGACUUCCUGAAAAAUUUUUUCAUAUUUUUUAUUGAAUUGUUGCAUUUAAAUAUAAGAGGGAGACAUAAUCAUCUCUUAAAAACAGGGAAUCAUUAAGUAACAUGGAGGAUCACCCUCCUACCACUAAGGAAAUGCAAAAACUAACUUGCAAUGUUUAUAUCAUGGGUUAACGACUAAGAACAUGACUUAACCAUCAAUAACAUGGCUUAACCACCAAGAACAUGGCAUAACCUCCAAGAACACGGCUUAUGAAAAUAAGACAACUAAUUUGUAAAAGAGCUAACUUGCAUUAUUUGCUAACAUUAUUUGCGACAUCUCCUGGGUUGUCAUCUGCUAAAUCCAACCAGAAUAAUUUUUUGCACUGAUAUCCUCGAACAAAGGGUUUAUCACAGUUAAAACAAAGUCCUUUUUGUCGGUGUUCCUCCAUCUCAUCACGGUUCAAGUGCUUAAUGAUUUAGAUACCUUUUGCUUCCAUUGUUUGUUGAGAUGAAUGAUUGGCUGAAGGACUUGCAGCACAUAUGGACCAAUUUUUCCAUUCAUAAAGUCUUGACAUGCUCGUGGCAGUGACUAGAUCUAUUGGUUGGUGAAGUUCCACCUCCGCAGCGAUGUAUUCUUGCAACCCACCGAGAUAAAGUUGUAUUUUUUGAUCCUGAGUGAGGCUUUCUGCUCGUGAAACAAGAACCUCAAAUUGGCUUUGGUAGUCAGCAACCGUUCCUAUUUGCUUUAAUUUUGCUAGCUCUCCCAAUUUAUUACUACGGAUUGGUGGCCCAAUACGAAGAUUGCAUUGGUGUGAGAAUUCCUUCCAAGUCGGAUUAGGAACAUCCUAUAACAGAGCAAUUCCCUCUAAGUGAUAGGAGGCUAAGCUCACCUUUUCUUUCUCGGGUGUUAAUUGAUGGCGGAAAAAAUAUUGACAACGGUCAAGCCAACCCAAAGGGUCUUCUAGCCUAUUGAAGUGAGGGAAGUCAAGUUUUGUGAAUUUUGGCAUAAUUGAGUCUCCUCCAAAAUUUUCAGAAACUGCCGCACCAUAAAUUUCCUAUCUUUUCGUGUUUUAGUUUGACUUUCAACGCUUGAAAAGACAACUCCUUUGUCGAUUCCAAGUCGAGACAUAUGGCAUCCAUUUUGGCGUGAAGUUGUUCAACUUUCUCAUUUUUGGACUGGUUGGCUUGUUGCUCGGCUAAGAGUAAGUUGAAGAGCUUGUUAAGCUAUUGUUGAAUUGAUUCGCCCAUAACUAUUGACUCUGAUACCAAUUUGUUAUGGUCCCUUGAUACAGAUCUAGUUAUGAGUUCAUGUGUUGAGGUAUUUGGUUGGAUGGGUGAAGGUUGUGAAGGAUUUGAGGGUUUUUUCUUUCGCGGUCUAUGUUGGAGAUAAUAUUCAGAUUCGUUAGGGAGAAUCUGGACCUUUUGAGUUUAGAGUACUCAAAGACUUUUUCUGAAAAUUUUUCUUGUAUCUUUUUUAUUGAAUUGUUGCACUUAAAUACAAGAGGGAGAUAUAACCAUCUUGCAAAAAUAGGGAACCAUUAAGAAAUAUGGAGGAUCACCCUCCUACCACUAAGGAAAAACAAAAACUAAAUUGCACUAUUUACAUCAUGGGUUAACUACUAAGAACAUGGCUAAACCACUUACUACAUGACUCUUGAAAAUAGGACAACUAAUUUGCAAAAAAGCUAACUUGCAUUAUUUGCUAACAUAAUGCGUCACAAAAAACCUUAGACAUAGAAAGACCAUGAUUUUUUUAUGCUUUUUGCGUGCUUGUUUCCCAGGUUCAUCCAGAAGGGAAAUAUGUUGUUGAUAUUGACAAAAAUAUUGAUAUCACAAAGAUCACUCCAUCAACAAGGGUUGCCCUCCGUAACGACAGCUAUGUACUUCACUUGAUCUUGCCAAGCAAAGUGGAUCCAUUGGUCAACCUUAUGAAAGUUGAAAAGGUUCCAGAUUCUACAUAUGAUAUGAUUGGUGGUCUUGACCAACAAAUUAAGGAGAUAAAGGAGGUUUGUGGAUAUCUUACUCUGUUAAGGCAAUUUAAUCAUUUAGUCUGUUAAUUAUGGCUUUCAUGUUAAUUAGUUGAUUGGCUUCAUGGGUAACCUGCUUUUUGUUAUCCUUUUAGGUUAUUGAACUUCCAAUUAAGCAUCCUGAAUUAUUCGAGUCUCUUGGAAUUGCUCAACCAAAGGUAUUAAAAUGACAGUAAGCUAAUGUAUCCAAUGAUUAAGCUUUUUUCCUGGACUUCAUUUUCACUAACUCUCUUGCUGUCUAAUGAUGAUAGGGUGUUCUUUUGUAUGGGCCACCUGGUACUGGAAAGACUCUAUUAGCUAGGGCUGUAGCCCAUCAUACUGACUGUACUUUCAUUAGGGUUUCUGGCUCCGAAUUGGUUCAAAAAUACAUUGGUGAAGGAUCUAGAAUGGUCAGAGAACUUUUUGUCAUGGCAAGGUUUGUGUCCUUUCUUCCCUUUCUUUCUCUUCUGGAAGUUCUCUAAUUGGUUUUAUUUCAGUGGUCAGGUUUUUAAUAUCAAUUAUUGUCCACUUUUAUUUAUUAUUGGUAUUGCUUAUUAUAGACAUUUGGUCUGACCUUUAAUAAUAAAAACAAAAUAGGAAAAGUGGCUAUGUUAUCUUAAUUGAGUUCGUAAAAUCAGCUGCCUACAAUGUUAGUAUGAGAUGAAAGAGAAUGUACAUUAUAUGUGUAGCUUUGUGGAGAUUUGAGAACUUAUGAUGACUGAAUUACACAUUUCUUCUUUUGAAUGUCUUGGCUGUAGCCUAAUCUGAAAUCACUGUGGUGUCUGCUCUUAUGUUGUAGUGGAGAAAACUUAUUUCUUAUAUACUUCUGCUUAGCAUUUCAGAUCUUAUACCCCUGGUGGUUUCUUGCUUUUUGGUUUUGCUGCAGGGAACAUGCUCCAUCCAUCAUUUUCAUGGAUGAAAUUGACAGUAUUGGAUCUGCUAGAAUGGAAUCUGGGAGUGGAAAUGGUGACAGUGAGGUCCAGCGGACUAUGCUGGAGCUUCUCAAUCAGCUGGAUGGAUUUGAAGCUUCAAACAAGAUCAAGGUACUAUCCAUACCUGCAAAAAAGACUGUAGAAACAUUAGUUCUGGUACAGUUCGUAUUGCUUAUUACCAAUUGUGCAUACACUGUUAACAGGUUUUGAUGGCAACUAAUCGGAUUGAUAUUCUGGAUCAAGCUCUCCUUAGACCUGGACGGAUUGACAGGAAAAUAGAAUUUCCAAAUCCUAAUGAAGAUGUAUGUUCGUUUUAUUUCUCUCCCUCUCUCUUUUUCAUCUGGAUCUGGAGAUAGCAAAACCUUAUCCAUCCCAAUGGGGAACCUGCCCCCCCGACCUUAAUCCAGCAGGGAUCCUGUCCCUUCAAUGGGUGAUGAGGAUCCCUCUCCCAAUCCCCACCUUGAUUUUUGUGUUAAUAUAAGAAUAGAUUUUUAUUAUAAGUUUAAAUACAUGAAUAUGAAAAAAUUGUUUCGAUGGUGACANNNNNNNNNNNNNNNNNNNNCCCCCCCAAAAAAAAAACACACUCAACCCCCCAACUUGUUGCCAUCCCUUGCUUGCUCAAAAAAGUAACAUGCUGACUGAUAAAUAUGCAGUCUCGUCUCGAUAUCUUGAAAAUCCAUUCAAGAAGAAUGAAUUUAAUGCGUGGGAUUGAUUUAAAGAAGAUUGCGGAGAAGAUGAAUGGUGCAUCUGGUGCGGAGCUCAAGGUAUCAUUCUUCCUUAUAUCAGUGAAAUCUUCUUUAUCCUCUUGCUUUUGACAUUCUUGACUUUUGGCCUGUAAUUGCUUUCUAAAAGGUAUACCAUCUCAAUUUGUGAUCUAUUCAUGUUAGAUGCUGCAUGGACAGCCACUUGCAUAUGCAUAUGAUCCAUGGUGUAAAUCUACUCCUUGAGUUUCUAUCCAUUGGGUUGUGCCUGUUGCAUAUAUUCUGCGGCUUUAACAAAAUAGUGCAAUAUGCAAGUUCAAUAAGGUCUUAUUUAAAGAGAGAUGAAACAGGAUAGAAGAGAGGUUCUUUGUCAGAUAGUCUGACAAAGUGAGGAGGGGUGAAAGUGAGAGAUAAGUAUAAUGUUUUAUAUAUACAUAUACAAAACAAUAAUCGACUGCAAUCCCAUGCAUGUUUGAACUUGUGCAAAUAUAUGAAAAAUGAUUCUUCUUCUACUUAUCAGAACCACUGCUUUUAUUAAGACACCUUGCUUUCCACAAAAAUGAUUUUGUUAUAUGCCCUUGACCAAAUUUAGGGGGAAGUAUUUACGCAAAACAGUUUUGUAGCAUAUAGUUAAGAGAUCAGAAAGUGGCAUCAAACUUCUUUUCUAUGUCUAUGGGUUGAAGUGUCCUUGAUUCUUGUUAUGCUUCCAUAGGCUGUGUGCACGGAGGCAGGAAUGUUUGCCCUAAGGGAGAGGCGGGUCCAUGUAACACAAGAAGAUUUUGAGAUGGCAGUAGCAAAGGUCAUGAAGAAGGAGACAGAGAAGAACAUGUCAUUGCGCAAGCUUUGGAAAUAAAUAAAUAAAAUCCAUAUUUUAAUAUUUUGGUUUUCUGAAUCAACCAAUGGGAACACGAAGAAGAGGAAUCAAAUAGUUUAUCCAUUGGAUUUGAUUUUUCCUGCUUGGACUUGGGAUCAUGCAUGUGCUUUCUAUUCAAAGGGUGGAGGGACUCUACUAAAGACAUCAUAUAUUCAUGGUCAAGGGGCCCUGUAGUCUGUAAGACACACAGUUGGUGUCCUCUGUGUUUUAAACAGAAGCCCUGGCCUGUAAUUGUAGGUUUACUUCUCUUUGUAAUUCCGAGUAUUACUUCUCUUGAUUUGGUUCCUACACUUCUCGUAUAUUUACUUCUCCAAGGAAAACUCAACUUCCAUUCUUUGCCUUUUUCCCGCUUGUAUGUUUCAUCUUUCAAUUGAAGGGCUUUCUUUCUCCACUUUCAUUAUUUAAGGAGUUUUUGAUAAAUAAAGCAAGCGAGAAAUGGCUUCGAGAAGGAUGAUUAUUGCUGCUCUUCGUGCAGAAAAUAGGAUUUGUGGCUGUCAAAUACGCAUUGGGAUUGAUCAAAAGAAUGGAAAGUACUUGGCCUAAGCUCUGUUUAUGCGAACUCAAUUGUGAAAAUGGCGCUUGAUUUUGAUAUCGGUAGGUCUUAUGUUUAUGAAAAGGAAAAGCAUAUAAGAUUAUUUUUAUUUAAUUUAUUAAGUAAAAAUUAUGAUACUCUAUCCACAAUUAAAAAUAAGAAACUAAGAAAAAAGAAAUAAAAUAUUCAUAAUACUUCAUCCUUGUAAAAAUAUGCUUAUUUUAAUUUUUCAUGUGUUUUAAAAUAUAUUUUCCUUUUUAUGUUAGUUUAUUUAUUAGCUUGUUAAUAUACUUUUAUUUGAUAUAUAUUGAAAAAGAAAAUUAUUAGUUUGAAAAAUAAUUUAAUAAUGGGUGAAUGGUAUGUUAGCAAAAACAAUAUGAAAUUGAUUGCUUUAAUUAUAUUAAAGAUUUUCCUUUUCUUUUAAAAUAUACUUAUCCUUAUGGAAAAGAGGAGUAUUACUUUUCUCACACCUUUUCAUGAGAAAAAAAAAAUAGUGUGGAAAGAAUAUUAUUAAUACUUUGUGUCUCUAAUUUCUUGUUUAACAUAUUAAUUCUAUCAAAUGAAUAAAUGAAAAAUACUCGAUUGAAAUUUUUAUAUACUAUUUUUAAAGAUGCACAAUUUUUAUAUAAUAUUAUAAAAAUAAAAAAAUACUCUCUCCUAUAAUUUUUAUUUAUUUUAAAAUUAUUAUUUAUUUUUUUUAUACAUAAUCAACAUAUAAAUUGACUAUUAUAAUUUUAUUUUAUCUUAAAAAUAACUUCUUAUUAUUAAAAUAUUUUUUAAUAUUUAAUAAAAUUUAAUAUUUUUAAAAAGAUAUUGCUAAAAAGUUAAUAAAACAAAUUAUUUUUUUAAUUUAUAUAAAAAAUAAAGUGAUAAAAAUUAUAAAAUAAAAAAAUAAUAAAUUGAAAAUAAAAUUCUGAUACGUAACCAUCUUGAGAAUUAAAGUAAAUGAUCCCUAAUGAAUAGUGCACAGUAUGUUUGAAAAUUGGGCCCUUCAAUUAAUGAAGGAUUCCUUUCAGAUUAGCACAUGCUUCACUUUAUAUACGUUUGAAAACUCCUCCCCUUCAUUUAAGCCUUUCAAUUUUACGGACAAGAUAAGGAGAUUUCCAUUGCCAUCCAUCGCUAUGUUUGGAUUGACAGUAUGAAUCUUAUUAAACUGAAAAAUCAUUGUGUGGAUACUGAUACUAUGAAUCAUCUCUGUAUUAUAAUCAUUCUAUCUAUUUAGAUGUUUCCAUCUUUUAUUUUUAUUUUUUUAAUUAAAAUUAUAAAAAAAAUUGAGAUAGUAAAAUUUAAGAAUUCUGAAAUUUAUUCAGAUGCAGAUGUUGAAUUUAUGUUAAAUACGUUUAGUUUUUUUCUUAAAUUAAUAUUUAUUUGGACGGUCAAAUAAUAAAUAAAAAUUAUAUUAAGUAGCACCUAAACAACGUGCUUGCACAUGCUAUAUAUUCAAGGAUUCAACUAUGGCCUCUCCAUCGAAAUUAAUUGAAAAAAAAAAUUGUUUAAACCUUUUUUUAUAGAAUGAAUAAUGAUUGGUUAUAGGUAGCUAGCCAAUGCAUUUCAGAAUUAAGCAACUCCUACCAAAUAAUAUUGAAUUUCGAAAGGAAGAACUACAUCAAAAAGUCAAACUUAUUAUUAUUAAUUUUCCCAUUCACUCAAAUAAUUUUAAAAUAUAAAAAAUAUUAUUAAUUUAAAUUUUAAAGGUUGAAUUAUUUUUGGCAGUUAAACUGUCCCUAAUAAUUUUAAAUUUUGAUUAUAAUUACUUAAAAUUAUAGUAUAUAAUUUUUGGCAUAUAUCGGUUAUCCUACUACUGGCUGUUAUGGUGGACUAACAAAUGCAUCAUCCCCUAUGUCAUACAUGUACUUGUAGGUCUUGUUUAAUUUAGGUUAAUUUAAUUUAAAUUUUUAUAAAGUGUUAAAAUUAUAUUUAUUUAGUAAUAUAAUUUUUUUAAUUUAAUAUUAAGAAAUAAAAUAUAUUGAUUAUAUUAGUUAAAUCGUGUGAAAAUAUAAAUAAGUUUAUUUUAUUGUAUGUCAUUUCUUUCUUGUCGACAAGGGUAAUUCCGCAUCAGUCGCCAACAUGGGAUCUAUCAAAGCCGACUAUUCAAUACUUUACGUUUCUGAAUAAACUAUUCAAUUAGGGUAUUCUUUUGACUUAUUUUAAAUAAAAUCUAAAUUACCAAACUUAAUAUUUUUUUAAAUAAAUUCUUUACUACAUAUACAUCCAUCAAUAGCAAGUCCUCGUGUUAGCCAAAAAUUUUUGAAAAACAAACAACCAAACAUGCUCUGUAUUACCCCAUCUCGUCUCCUUCCAUGGCGAUCUCUAUUCUUCUUAUUAUUAGUAAUCUCACGGCUUCUCUCUUCUUCUCAUGGUGAUGUCGGCACUGCUGCCCAGUAUAGCCCUCCUUAUUUACGUAAGUACUGUUUAACCCGCGGCCACCACACCGCCACUUCACACUUUCUUCUCAUUUACAUUGUCUUUGCUGUAUAGCCACCACCUGCUACGGCAACGAUCCAUCGCAGUUUCCUUCCAAUAAUUUGUUCGCGGCGGCCGGCGAUGGAAUAUGGGACAAUGGAGCAUCCUGUGGGAGAGAGUACUUGGUCAGGUGCAUUAGUGCCUCGGUUGCUGGUUCUUGCAAACCUGGUCAAACCAUUCAAGUAAAGAUCGUUGAUUAUGCUCUUUCAACGCCUACUCCACCGUCGGCUCGGGGCACGACCAUUGUCUUGUCGGAAACUGCCUUUGGGAGUAUCGCCAAUUCAUCGGCUACUUCCAUCAAUAUAGAAUUUCAACAGUAAUUUCUAUAUUCUCCCUCUAAUAUAAUUUUCUUUAUAUUAUCUUCGGCUGUAGGACUAAUAAUGAAAUAUAUAUUUUUGCAGAGUAUGACAGAGAGAGAGAGAGAGAGAGAGAGAGAGUGGGAGGAAAGAAGAUGAACGAGGCGGGGGGAAGGGAAGGGAUGGGGAUGGGAGGAGAAAGAGUUAAUCUGCGGGUGAAGUUGACAAGUCAAAAUUUGUUUCUAGAUAGGUUACUGAAAUUUGUAAUAAAGUAAAAUAUUUUAUUUGUGAUAGAUAAUAAUUAUUAAUUAAUUAAUAAAAUUGAGGAGGAAGAGAAUAUUUCAAAGGCAGAUCAUGGUUUGAUGAGAAAGCUCAAGUUGGAUAUAGAUGGUUUUCGAAGCUUCUGAAUUGUGAUACUCAAUCCAAUAGGCCUAAUUUUAUUGUUUUUCUACCAUUAUUUUAUUUUAUAUUGUUAAUUUAUGCUGGAAUUAAAAGUUAUGCAAGAAAAUUUUCGUAUCAUUUCGAGUUUAACUUUGUAAAUCAAACGUUAGACGAGGCAAAAGCAUAUCCAUUUAUUAAUAAUUAACUAUUAUUUUAAGAAAAUAAAAGAAUAUUUAUUAAAUAUAGAGAAAAUAUAAAUUAAAAGUACAAAUUCCAUAUUUCUAUGCACUUGAUAAAUAUAUCGGAAUAAACAAAGAGAUUAUAGAUUUUAUUUUCACAAUUUUAAAUUUUUAUUUUUUAAAAAAAUUAUAUUUCUAUAAUUUUUAAUUGAAAGAUAAGAUUAUAUUCAUGAGAGGGCUCAAAUCCGAUAAUAAGAUGCCUACACAGAAACCCAGACCCAAAAAACAUAUAAAGUCCAGCCUCGAGUACCAACCCAAUUCACUAACUCAACCAGAAGAAGAUUUUGGAUCUUUCUCCCUUGCUGCUAACUCUUCACCGGACAUCAGGGAACAAUGCAAAAGGACCUUCAACAGCUCCUUCAUUUCAGUAUUCCAAAGAGCAUAGAAGACAAUUUAAGAACAGUGAUUUCAAUCAAACUAGCAAACUCAGAAGAAGAGGUUUUACCCAAAAAGGAAGAUUCACCAAUCGAGUCCAAAGGCUGAAGUAAAUAAUAAACGCUCCAGCCAUACCUUCCACUAAUUUUUGGUUUGACUGAGCCUAGGAAAACAGAGUAGCCUGCCAGAUUCCAACCUUCUAUAGCCUAGCCAAGGAGUGAGAUCGCACGACGAGAGAUAAGCAAAUAGAUGCAUCACAACCAGAAUAGUGUGAUGGUCAGAGGUCCUACACUAACCAGCUGAGAAUCAUCAAUCACAGCCUAUCACCUGAUAUUUAUUAAGGAUAAAGACUAACUAUAACAGUUUUAUCUAUUUUUAGUAUUUGAGUUAUAGCUAUAUACUUAUCUUGUAUUUAGUUAGUUGUAGACUUGUAUUAUAUAAGUUUCUGUAAUACGUUCAGUAAAUAAUACAAAAACCCUUUUCUCUAUAUGGUAUCAGAGCCGCAAUCUGCUCUCACGAGUUUUCUGAUCCAAUUUUCUUAAAUUUUAAUCAAUGGCUUCGUCAUCUAUUACUGUUAUUCAAUUAAAUGCUCCAACGCAUUUUCCUAUUAAAUAUACUCAGGAGAAUUUUCCUGUUUGGAGAAAACAGAUUCAAUCAACCUUAAUUGGUCUUGAUUUACUUGAUUUUAUUGAUGGUUCACGGGUUGCACCAUCACAAUUUCUUUCUGAAAAAGACAAAACAGCCAACCCAGCUUUCGCCUUAUGGUUUCGACAAGAUCAAAUCUUGAUCAGUGCUCUUUUAGGAAGUUGUUCCGAUACUAUUCAACCCUUGAUUUCUUCAGCCAAUACUGCCAAAGAAGCAUGGGAUCGGCUUCACCAGAGUUUUGCUAAUGUUUCUCGUUCUAGAAUUUUGUCCUUAAAGACUAAAUUAGCACAGAACUCUAAGGGAACCAAACCGAUUGUUGUUUUUCUCAAUGAGAUGAGGGCUAUUGCAGAUGAGCUUGCUCUUACCCAGAAUCCGGUGAGUGAUGAUGAUUUAAUUGUUUAUAUUAUCACGCGAUUGGGAGAUGAUUACAGUCCCAUAGUUGCUGCAUUAAAAGUUCGUGAAACCCCAAUAACCUUUUCUGAUCUCUUUGAAAAACUUACUGAUCAUGAACGAUUCUUACAAGAAAAAGAUUCCACAACUGUUUCAGCUACGUCACAAGUGAUUGCUACUGUCAAUUACACUCAACGUUCUAGAGGGCGUUCACAAAAUCAGAAUGGCAAUUAUAAUCGAUCUCCACAAAACUACAAUUAUUCUGGAAAUCAACGUGGUGGUCGUGGUUCUUACUCUGGUGGUCGAGGUCGCGGUUCUUAUCGACCUAAUGUGGUAUGUCAAUUUUGUGAAUAUACUGGGCAUACUACUGCUAAAUGUCGCAAAUUGGCUCGCUUUUUUAAGGAGAAUAAUAUGUCUUUGAAGACUGAUACCUCUCAUUCUUUAGCACCGAUACCUGCAGUUAAUGUUACUUCUGCUAUGGCUGCUUCUUCUCCACAACAAUGGUUGUUUGAUAGCGGAGCUUCUCAUCAUGUUGUGUCGAAUCCAGCUUCUUUGCAAAGCUAUUCUGACUAUGGAGGUCCUGAGGAAGUACAACUUGGUGAUGGUAAAAAGCUUGUUGUAUCACAUACUGGUUUUGUGCAAAUUCCUGCUUACUCUAAGAAUUUAUCAUUGCCUAAUGUGUUAUGUGUGCCUAAUCUGCGCAAGAAUUUGGUUUCAAUUGCUAAGUUAUGUCGCACUAAUCAUGUUUCUGUGGAAUUUUUUUCCAUCUUAUUUUGUUGUGAAGGAUCUGUACACGGGGGCGUCUCUGCUACGAGGAGAGAACAUUGAUGAUAUCUACUGUGCAAGUUUUUCCAGAGUUAAUUCUCAACGUCCUCAGCUGAAUGUUACUACUCGGUGUCUGUCUUUGCUUUCUGAAUGGCAUCACAAGCUUGGUCAUCCAAACAAUAAAGUCUUUUUGUUAGUACUUCGAAAUAUUGGUCUUCAGUCUAUGUCUAACUAUGUUUCUAGUUUUCAUUGUACUUCCUGCUCUAUGAGCAAGAGUCAUAAAUUACCGUUUUCUGAGAAUUCUCUUGUUAGUAAUAAGCCUUUGCAACUUGUUUAUUCCGAUGUUUGGGGUCCUACACAAAAAUCUAUUGAUGGCUAUGAGUAUUACGUUACAUUUAUUGAUCACUAUUCUAAGUAUGUUUGGCUAUAUCCCAUGAAGAAGAAAUCUGAUACUCAUGAUUUGUUUAUCCACUUUCAGAAAUUGGUUGAAAAUUAUUUUCACACUAAAAUUGUUUCUGUGUUCACUGAUAAUGGUGGGGAGUAUCAAAAGCUUAAGCAUCAUUUUUUGUCUUGUGGUAUUUCACAUUAUACAACACCUCCACAUACGCCAGAGCAUAAUGGUACUGCUGAACGUCGUCAUCGCUCAAUAGUUGAAACAGGUCUUGCUAUGUUACAAUUUUCGUCUUUACCUUCUAAUUAUUGGUCUCAUGCUUUCCAGGCUGCUGUUUAUUUGCUCAAUCGGUUGCCUUCAUCCGCUAUUUCGUUUCAAACACCUUUCUCUAGAUUGUUUGGUAUGUCUCAUAAUUUUAAGAGAUUGAAAUCUUUUGGUUGUCUUUGUUUUCCAUGGCUAAGGCCAUAUAAUAAUUCUAAACUUCAGUGUCGUUCAUUGCCUUGUAUUUUUCUUGGAUAUUCUCCAACUCAAUCUGCAUACAAAUGUUACGAUCCAAAGGCUAAUCGUUUGUAUUUGUCUCGUCAUGUUCAAUUUGUUGAGCAUAUUUUUCCAUCUGAAACUUGCACUAGUUCUCAUCAAUUUACAGAUUAUUUUCGAGAUGCUUCUUGUACAGGUUCGGCACAACAACAAAAUUCAUCACCUGUUGCACCAACUGUAGUUGCUUCGGUUCCAUUGGCAAUUUCUAUUCCAAGUGAUUCUGAUUUGUUGGUUUCGAGUAUUGGUUCAGAAUCUAUUACAGCAUUAUCAGCAGAAUCUGAUCAAUCUGCCAUGCCAUUAAUUAGUACUGAGACUCAACAAGUUGAACCUUUGAUGACUGAAUCUUCUACUGCUGAUUUAGAUUUGCCACUACCGAUUGUUUCACAAGACUCAGUUCCAGCUCCUGUACAACGGCAGCAGCGACAAAGGAAGCCUAACUCAAAGUAUUUUAACUCUUCUUUUGUUAAUCUUACAACUAAAUAUCCUUUACAGGAUACACUCGAGCCAAGAACAGUUAAACAAGCUCUGGCAAGUUCACUUUGGCGGCAGGCGAUGGAUUCAGAGUACAAUGCUCUUUUGCAAAAUAAAACUUGGGAGCUGGUUCCGAGAGACAAACAUCAUCUUAUUAGUUGUAAAUGGGUGUUUCGGAUUAAGCGUAAACCGGAUGGUACUAUUGAUAAGUACAAGGCACGUUUGGUUGCCAAAGGAUUUCUUCAGGAACCUGGGCGUGAUUAUUUUGAUACAUUUAGUCCGGUUACAAAACCGGUCACAAUUCGGGUAGUUCUUACUCUUGCAAUUUCUAAAGGAUGGCAGUUAAGGCAAUUGGAUGUAAAUAAUGCCUUUUUACAUGGCACACUUUAUGAAGAUGUCUACAUGCAGCAACCUCCAGGAUAUGUGCAACCUGAGUUUUCUGAUUAUGUUUGCAAACUGAAGAAGUCUCUUUAUGAUUUGAAACAGGCUCCACGAGCUUGGUAUCUUGAACUUACUUCUUUUUUGCUCAAACUUGGUUUUCGCAAAUCAAAUGCUGAUGCGUCCUUGUUUAUUUUUUCCUCCAAUGGGAUUACUGCAUAUUUUCUAGUAUAUGUUGAUGAUAUUGUACUUACAGGUAAUAACAAUCAUUUUCUGAAUACCUGUGUACAGAAGCUAUCUGCUCAGUUCUCUAUCAAAGAUUUGGGAAUAUUAAAUCAUUUUUUGGGGGUUGAAGUAAUUUCUACAGCUGCAGGAUUAUUUCUUUCGCAACAUCGACAUAUUGCUAAUUUGUUAGAGCGAUUUGAUAUGGCUGGAGCUAAAGAGGUGAAUACUCCUAUGUCUACAGGAGACAAGCUGAUCUUAAAUGAUGGUUCUAGUUCGACUGAUUCCACCGUAUAUCGCCAAAUUGUUGGAUCUCUUCAAUAUUUGGCAAUUACGCGUCCUGAUGUUUCUUUUGCAGUGAAUCGGCUGUCACAGUUUAUGCAUGCACCGACGCAAACUCAUCUUCAAGCACUGAAACGUGUUUUGCGAUAUCUCAAAGGAACCAUACAUUAUGGCUUAUUUCUCAAUCGAAAUUCUACUCAUACUCUGUCUGCCUUCUCUGAUUCUGAUUGGGGUGGUGCCCUUGAUAAUGGGCGGUCUACAACUGCUUAUGUUCUAUAUCUUGGUUCUAAUAUUAUCUCUUGGAAAUCUAGUCGGCAAAAGACUGUCUCACGAUCUUCUACAGAGGCUGAGUACAAAGCCUUAGCCAAUACUGCAGCAGAGGUAUUUUGGGUUCAAAGUUUAUUACAAGAUUUGGGAGCACCAAUAUCACAACCACCAGUCCUUCAUUGUGAUAAUCUUGGUGCGACUUACUUCUGCGCCAAUCCAAUCUAUCAUACUAGGAUGAAGCAUCUUGCACUGGAUUACCAUUUUGUUCGCGAGAAAAUUAAUGCUGGACAGUUAAGAGUUCUUCACAUAAGUUCAAAAGAUCAAGUUGCUGAUGUGCUUACAAAGGCUUUGGGAAGAACUCAGUUUUGUUACUUUAGAACCAAGAUUGGAGUCUCCAAUGGCGCCUCAAUCUUGCGGGGGCGUAUUAAGGAUAAAGACUAACUAUAACAGUUUUAUCUAUUUUUAAGUAUUUGAGUUAUAGCUAUAUACUUAUCUUGUAUUUAGUUAGUUGUAGACUUGUAUUAUAUAAGUUUCUGUAAUACGUUCAGUAAAUAAUACAAAAACCCUUUUCUCUAUAAUAUUAACCCCAAGAGGUGCCCACUGUAGAAAAACUGAAGUCUUCUCACCAAUCAUCUCUCCUCCAACAGAGACAUAGGGAUCUUCAAAUCUCGUAGAUGGAACUCACUUGCAACUUAAAAGGAAAAAAAGAAAAACCACUAACAUCCAAAUAACACAAACUAAACAAAAUAAAAAACUCUAUACACCUUCUAUUUGAAGGAGAAGAAACCCACUAUGCCGGGCAAGAGGAAAAGAGCUUCCCUGCCUAGCCAAGAUAGGGGAAGUUGCAGACUACUCCCUCAAAAAAUUUAAAAAACUCUUUUAGAAACACGAGAGAGAGAGUUUUGCUCAAAAUAUUUGUUAUUUUUUUAUUAUAUCAAAGAUAUUAAACUUCAUUAGAUAAGAGUGUUACAACCUGAGAUACAUCAAAUCCAUAGGCUAUACAUAAAAAAAAAUAAAGCAAGGUCUUUAAGUCCAAGAAAGAAUAAGCUAAAGAGAUCCAACCCUGAAGACCAAACUCGAAAAAGACCCAAAACAUGACUUAAAAAAUUCUUCAGGAUGCACCGAUGUAUCGCUACUCUCUCUGUCAUUUUCGACUGCCAUUUCUGAUAACCAAUUGGUUCGGAGGAGACGUCUUUCUCAAUAAUAGCCGAAAAAGCUUAUGUACAAAUUGAAGAUCAGAGAGUAAAGCCAACCUCAGUAUCAAACCCACAGAUCCCUAAAACGAAGAGGAGAUAAAACCGGUGUAAAAAUCACGUACAAGCUCCGAAUAGUGUAGAAACGAUGGAAAACCAACAACUAACAGAAAGGCAAGAUGGAGCUUCCUCUAAAGCUCCUCGUCACCACUAUUUAGGCCGAUGAAGCUACCUCUAGAAAGAUCCAGACCAGCAAUAGAAAGGAGAUGUUUUUCUACAUUGAUGGCAAGUUAGUUCCGCCUUCUUAUCGAUAGCAUGCAAGCAAGAAAAGAGCAAGUUAGAGAGACUAUCUCCUAAAAGAAAACAAAAGGAAAAAAAUAAAUGAAACAAACAACAAGGCAGAACCAAAGUUUCACUCCCUCAUCAUAGAAGCAUCGCUUGCCAAAAACAAAUACAAACAAAAAUAUAUACAACCUCUUCUAGACAGAGGAGGAAGAGAAAUCCACAUUCGGAAAGUGAAGGAGAGUACCCCUUCUCGGCGGAGUAGGGGCGGCCACGGACUCCAGCAUGAAAAGAGACAUAUGCCUCAAGGAACCCUCACAACUCUCAUGGAGAAAACUCCCUCUAGCUCUAAGCGAACUCUUUUUUGGUGUAAGAUAAUUUCUUACGGCCAAAACAUUCGGUCUAGACCUUUUUUUGACUUUUUUUUUUCGACUUUACGAUUUGUUUUUUUUUUGCGAGCUCAAAGUGACAUUUAAUGGACAUUUUACCUAAAAAUUAACCCAUGAUAAAGGGGAGAUAAAACAAGUGCAGUUUUUAUUUGUCCAAUGGAGUGCGCUGUACGCCAAGGCGCAAACUAGAUAAGGUCAGCGCCAGUCGUCUAGACAUAGGCAUUGGCCGGUUCGAUCUAGUUCUAAAAUGGACGAGUUGAUUUAUUUUUCAAAUUGAACUGAAAAUGGCUAGAUUUAAAAUAGUUCAGGAGUUUUAAUUUUAAAUUUUUUAUGAUUUUAGUUAAAUUUAAAUUAUAAAUGAUCAUUUAAAUUUUUUUUAAAAUAUUUUUAAAUAUAUAUUUUAUUAAAUAAUUAAAUUGUAAAUAUAUUUAUUUACAUAAUAUAAAAAAUAUAAUAUAUAUAUAUAAUAUGAAAAUAAAAUAAUAUCACAUUUAGAUGUAAAUAAUAUUUUUUAUAAUUUAAAAAUAAAUUUUAAUUUAAUUAUUUAAUAAUUUAACUUGUUUGUAGAUAAUUUUAACUAACAUAAUUUAAAAAAAUAAUUUAUUUAAGAAAUAAAAAAUCAAAUUGGAAUAGUAUCAAAUUAUCGAUUUAAAUCAACCGGUUUUAAUUUUGAUUCACAAAAAAUGAACCGUAAUCAAUCCUUCCAGUCUAAACUUCCAAUCCGAUUUAAAAACUAAAACCAAUUGAUCAAUCCGAUCUUAAAUUUAACUGGUUCGAUUCACAAUUCAAAUCAGACCAUAGCCGCAUUACAGUCGCCUCACAAGUUUCUGGCUAAGCUUGUCUGAAAAGUUGGUGACCCUGAGAAAUUUUCUAUUUGUAGGUUGUUAACGCUAAUUAAUUUUAAAUUCAUACUAAUAAUACAAAUAUCUUUUUUAUUUCUGUUCUAAAUUGUUCUAUUUUUCUUCUCUGAAUUAAUCGUUUUCAUCGAAAUUGUUCCUUUGUCUAGAUUUUUAGCUCUCUGUUUGGCAGCUUAGAAAAAUGCAUCGUUAUUUCCAGUUUUUCCCAAUCAAAAUUUGAAAAUCUAUUCAAAGAUUAUUGAAAAUUUUGGAUACUUUCCUUUUCUUUAUAGGAGUAGAUUGUAAAGGACUUGUUUAUUUUUCAUCCUCUCUUUCUUGCUCGUUUCGAAUUGAGCUUUUGAUUUUGCUGCAAUUGUAGUUUGGUGUCUGGCAGUUUGUGAAUUGUGAUCAAUUAGGGGUUUACUACCUCUAUUUUGUUGGAUAUACGCACAUACACACAUAUAUAUAUAUAGAGAGAGAGAGAUAGAGAGACAGAGGGUUAUCGAUGAUAAGGGAAGUGCAGCUGGAGCCAGUGGGUGCAGAGAAUCCGAGCGAUUCUGAUCCUCUGCUCGUAGACAAGGCUGAUUCAUCAUCGCCGCCACCAUUAAGUUCGAGUGAGAUUAACAAUGAAGAUGACAUCGAGAAUGGUUCUAUUCCUUGUUGCCGCAUUUGUCUUGAGAGCGAUUGCGAACUAGGUGACAAACUUCAACAAAUUUCUUCCUUUUCUUUUGGAAUUGGAUUUAUUGACAUCUUACUUGGUGUGCGAAUUUUUCUUGAUAUUGAUUCUCUGAAAAGUUGUUUUAUCCUUUCAUGAGUGUUUGUAUUAAGUGGGCAACUAACAACUGAAAGGAAUUCAUUUUCUAGAAGAUCAUAAUUGGACAUCACACUUGAAGAGAAAUUUAAUGACUUGUUUUGCUAAUUCAUUCGUCUGAGGUUUACCUGAGUUAAACCUUAAUAAUUAUGAUGCAGGUCAUCUGGGAAAACUGGAAUGAUCAAACCCUAUUAGUGUGGCUAUUAUGUGGUAGCUUGAUACAUGCGCUGUUUGUCUAAUCCAUGUAGGUUGUUGACUAUUGAUAGAUAGUAAUGUAAUUGCUUGUUCCAGCUUAGUCUUGUCACUUUGAUGGAUUUAGGUGGGUUUUUCUUAUACAUUCUAAGGGAGGAAAUAAUUGAACUUUUCUUAUUUGGAGAACGUAGAUAAUCCAAGGCCAAUAGUUGAAGAGAAGAAAACAAAAAUAUCUGGUUUAAUGAGGGAGAAAUAUGAGGAGCUUUCCCUUAACAAACUAUGAUUCAGUAGGCUCAGCUGCCUCUCCUUCUGUGUAAUUCCCAUGUUACUUAAUUCCACCCACGAGCAUCCAGCUGCAUAUAACAUCAUAACACAGACACCAUUGCUUCCUCCUUGUAUUCAUUGGAUGCCCUGCAAAAUGGCCUUUUCUUGCUUUCCCUUUGCAACCUCGGCAUUCUUUUGUGGUAGCAACUUCUUUGUACUAAGUGUUGCCCUGUACUUUCUCCUCAAGUUAAAAAUCAGAUUAUUUAGUGAAAUGAACUUUGAGAUCAGCCUUCACUUGACAUAAAGCUUUAGUUCCUGAGGAUGACAUCCUUCAUUUCUAACUGUAGUUGGGAAGUGAUGUCUGCUCAUAGAAGUUUUUUCAUUAUAUUAUCCAUGUUUUUGUUGGAUUUCUUAAAAUCAUAUCCUUGGCUCUUAUUAUAUUUUGAAGUUAUAGUUUUGUUUUAUAUAUUCUUUGUGCUGGUAUGCUUUUUCUAAUGGAUUUUGAUUUUAUAGGUGAUGAAUUAAUAUCUCCAUGCAUGUGCAAAGGCACUCAACAGUUUGUUCAUCGUUUAUGCCUUGAUCAUUGGCGCUCAGUAAAGGUGGUGCUGUUAUUUUUCAAUUGAUAUGAAUACUAUAAAUUUCAAUUUUUCUGAUGUUAAUUUAUUGUUGUCAUUGAUCUAAUAAGGGCCUCCUUCUUCUUUGAUAGGAAGGAUUUGCUUUCUCUCACUGCACAACAUGCAAGGCCCAAUUUCAUCUUCGAGUUGCAUUAUUUGAGGACAACUCAUGGCGUAAAGUGAAAUUUAGACUUUUCGUGACAAGAGAUGUUAUCAUUGUAUUUCUGGCUGUGCAAACUGUGAGUUACUAUGAAAUUUUCCUUUUCUUUCAGUUCAUUUGGAGGUUGGACUUAUGAGUUGUCCACCGGGUAAACCUUUCUUAUCUCAUCGUAACCACCCAGUCCAACAGAAAUAACAGCUAAAACUACAACAACUAUUAAGCCUUAAUCCAAACUAGCUGGGGUUGGGUAUUGGAUCCUUUUUCACUGUUCAACUCUUUUAGACACCAAGUCCUCAUCCAUAGAAAAGAAGAUAUGGUUCAUAGUCACAAGGCACAAGCAAGGUGACAACCAUUUCGACUUCUUUCACUUUUCAUUUUUACUGUAGGAGACAUAGAAGGGGGGAAAGUAGACUAAUCCAUGGAAUCUUAACAUUAAGAUGAAGCAGUGUGAACCAAGUCAUCAUACAUUUCUUUCUAGUAUAUACAGCAGAUCAUUUAGCUCUACUUAAUCACCUUGAUAUGGCUUGAAUUAAGAAGUGCAAUAAUUUUUGUAUGUAUAUAUUCAAGUGUUAUUUAUUUCUGAGAAAAUCCCUUAUCCAGGUGAUUGCUGCAAUUGGUGGCUUUGCAUAUUUUAUGGAUAAAGAUGGGACCUUUAGGAAUUCAUUCAGCGAUGGUUGGGAUAGAAUCCUGUCAAAACAUCCUAUACCAUUUUAUUAUUGUAUAGGUAAGUUUUAUGAUUUUGGCAGCCAAUCUAUUUUUAUCUUGCUAGGGUUGGAAGUUCUAUUCCAAAUUUCUGGUGCUAAGCGAUACUGAUAUGCCAGUUUAGUAGCAUAAUUCUAUUUCACUAAUUUUCUGGCAUAUAUAUGUUUUGCAAUUCGAAAACUGAUGAUUAAGAUAUAGCCCAUAGGGAAGAAAGAUUAUUUUUGUUUUCAAACUAAACUCCUACCUUCGACUUUUCUGUCAUAUUUCCCCUUCCCCUAUGUGUAUUUUUCUGGACAUCUGCUUUAUUUUCACUAAUCUUUUUGUAAUCUACCAUUUGUAGUUGUAUCUGCUAGCGGAUAUGCUCCAGCAUUUGCUUGAACUAUGGCCUAGCUUCUUGGUUCACUAUAAAUAAUUGCUUAUAGUUCUUGAUAUCUGGGCGUUGUGUUAGUUUGUUCAUGGGGUUAUAGUGUUGAAAUUCACUUGCCUUCUUACCCUUCCCUUCCUGUCCAAUAGAGUGAAGGUACUGACUUAUUAUUGUUUGUACUAUGUAAUAAAUUGCACCAGGUGUACUGGCAUUCUUUGUGCUGCUUGGGUUUUUUGGCCUCAUACUACAUUGCUCCUCCCUCAAUAGUAAUGAUCCAGGAAUGGCUGGCUGCCAGAACUGCUGUUAUGGAUGGGGAAUCCUGGACUGUUUCCCUGCUUCUAUGGAGGCAUGCUUUGCCUUAGUUUUGGUGUUUGUUGUUAUCUUUGCCAUUCUAGGCAUAGCUUAUGGUUUCCUUGCUGCCACCAUGGCCAUUCAGAAGAUCUGGCAGAGACAUUACCACAUCCUUACUAAGAGGGAGCUGACAAAGGUAAUCUCAGAGUCCUUGCCGUUGACUUUUGCGUUAAUAUCAUAGAGAUGUUGAUUAUGUGAAUCUCUUUACCUAGACCUUCGAGCAGUGCAGUGCUACUGCUAUAAUAAUUUAAUCAUUUGAAUUUUACUUUUUGUAACAGUUUAAUCUAUGUUGUUUUAAUAUUUGUAAUAAUUUAGUCUUUAUAGUUUUAAUAUCUCUAAUAAUUUAGUCUCUUUGAUUUGAAUUGGCUUCUUUAAUUUAUGGUGUUAAAGGUAAAUUUAACAAAAUGAUUAUUUUGUUAAAAAAAUGAAACUCAAGGACCAAAUAGUUCUCUUAUUAAAACAGCAGAGAUUAAGUUGUGAAUUACCCAUGUUUCUACUAUAGUUGCUUGAUUUUCCAAGUUAGGAAUUCUUACCAACUUAUUGUUAAAAUUUUGCAGGAAUACAUAGUAGAGGAUCUUCAUGGCUGUUAUACACCACCGAAGUUGGAUUCAGAACAUGAAGAACGUCUGAAAAUGCUUAAGCUUUUAUAAUUAUGGCAGAGAUGAGUGAAGUCAUAAGACAUAUUUACAGUGGGAUGCAUAUCACUGCUCGUGUAUAAAUAUAAUUUAAAAUUCAACCCCUUAUGAUUGCUGAGCGUCUUUCAAAAAUUCCACCGACUUGAAUUUGGGAGGUUCAAUCUUCCCUAGAACUUUUUAAACACGGGAUAUUUAACAGGGCUGGUGAGCACGAAUUCAAGUGUUGGAUUCUUGGUUAUGGUUAUAUGAAGAUCAUUUUGAGAGACAAUUCAGGAACUGAAAACCAAAAACAAGAAAAGAAUACAAAAUCUCGGGGAUUUGGAUCUAUUUUUAAAGUUUGGAGUAAGAAUCAAAAGAUAAAUUGUGAAUUUUCAGCAUUUUGGAUCUUCUAUUUUUAAUCUUUUAAGUAAUACCAAUUGUUCUAGGCAAUGAGUUUAUAGUUACUUUCAGGAUUUGCUGGAAAUUGAAUAAAUUUCCAUGAAACCCUUAAUACAUUAGGAUGUCAAAUUUUUAAUGAUCAAUUCGAUCACUUACAAUUAAAAUAUGAUCACCGUCUCUAAUUACCUCAAUAUCAUCAAUUUCAGCUCUGUUCUUACUCAGAACUUUUGCAUUUGUCAGUCCAAACUUCUUUGCACCAAUCUCCAAUAACUCCUCCAAGCUCUUGGGGAGUAGAACAAGCUUCCCUGCAAUUUCAACCUUUUCUGGGCAACUAAUUACUACUCUUGCAGGUUUAGCUCCAUAGUUAUCCGCAACUACAAGGUGGCUAACUGGGAAUGGUAAUUCUUUCUCCCCCUUGUGAGCAGCAGACAUCAUACCAAAGAGCGAGUUAUGAAAAUUAUUAGUUCUGCGUCUGGGACGGUUUUGGCUCCAUGAUCCUUCUGCAACAGAGAAUGAACCAUCACCAGACACAGGGCGAAUAGCUGGCUCACUCGUAAAUCUCCCAAGAUAUCGAAUACCAGGAUCCUUCUUAUCAGGAAUUGCAACAGAAGGCACAGGUUUAGGCUCUUUACAAGUUCUAAAAAUGAACUUUAUUUCUUCAUGUCCUUGUUGAUCAGCUAGAUCCCUCGGAGUCCAACCGUGGUUAUCUGGUUUAUCAGUAUCUGCACCCUGGUCUAAUAGAAACCUGACGAUCUCAGUGUUGUCUUCACAAACUGCAACAUGGAGAGCUGUGGUUCCACUCUUCCUUGAGCACGUGACAUCCCCACCAUACCUGACAAUUUCCUUGAGCAAGUUCAAGCUAUUUUGCUCGGCAGCAGUGCAUGCAAAAUGACCUAAAUCUCCGGCAUUAAUGCUUGCACCAUUUUCUAUCAGCAGCCUGGCCACUGCUUCAUGACCACCCAGCAUUGCCUCCCACAGAGGGACAUUUCCAUCUGAGUCUGCAGGCCAUUAACAGCAAACUUAAAUAUAAGCAGAAUAAGACUUCUGCAUUAGAAUUAGAAUAGAAGUUACCUUUACAAUUAGGAUCUGCGCCGUAAUCUAGUAGAAGCCGCACACAGUUCUCACUUCCUUUCGAUGCUGCUAUAUGCUAAUAGACAAAAUUUUUGAGGGGAGAAAAAGAAAAAUCAGAGAUUGACUGCGGAAAGAACAGUUAAAAAGUUUCAUAUUUUACAUACCAGAGCUGACCUCCCGUUGUUGUCUGAUUCAUUUGGAUCCAGACUUCUUUUUAACAACUGAUGUAAUAAGGAAUCAUCUCCUCUAAGUGCAGCAAAACAUAAACUGAGGGGCAGGUCCAUUCUACCAUGAGCUAACAUGUUCUCUGUCUCAAGCAAAACUCCUUCCAUAAUUGGGUCCUUUUGUUCUUUCAAAUGCUGCCCCACAAUGAACAGAAAAUUCAUUAACAUUAGAAAAGUUUCACAAGCAAUACUAAGAAAACGCUUCAGAAACGUUCCUUGGUUAGGAAAAGAUUUGUAUUCUAGUUAUGGAUCCAGUGUCAUUUGAGUUUUCAGACCUGAAGGAGAUUAUUCAUGAUUACCGUCCCAUCUCCCACAUUGGCCUGAACAAUGUUCAAGAAUGUAGUACGGUUCAGUCGUAGUAGCUGGCUUAAUCUUUUCGUGCGCACGGUAAAAAGUUGUGGCCUAUAACAAAGCACCCCAAUCUCACCGCAGAGAUCACCACUGUUCACCUUCCCAACAAGCUGUAAUUAUCCAACAUAAUUUUCUUCAGCAAAAACUGAACUAUAAAACCUCAGUAGCUGAUGCCACCAUUUAAAAGCUGUUUCAAGAAAUAGGACUUGCCUGUUCAGCUCCAUUCUUGUAAACAAGAAGAUCCUGUUAAGUAACUCGAGUAUUAGAUGCCAUAAUUUGAUAAACUUCUAUGUCAAGAGAACAGAUAUAAAUAAUUGGGUUGGAUUUUAUUACCGCAGCACCAGUGACAAGUAUAUAGAGGUCUGUUGGCGCUUCAUUCUGCAGAAUCACAUCUUCCUUGGGGGGAAAAUACUCAGCUUUCAUUUCUGAAACCUUUGAAAUUCAUUUACAUAAACCCAAAAAAUUCCAUUGUGAACACUCACUUAAGAAAGCAAUAAGUCCAAAAGCUUGGGUGAAUUUAUUACCAGCUGGAAAAGCAAGUCAUUGGAAACCCCACGAAACAAGUAAACUCUGUCCAGGAGAGAGUAAAAAAGAUAAUGAGAAAUGCUAGAACGAAUUGCUUUUGGAAGGGAAUCAAGAGUUUCUUGCUGCUGCAGUCCUUCUGAAUCUGUCCUGAACUUCAAACACAAAUGUGCAAGCAUCUGAUCUUGCAGGCGAAGAGGCAGUUGGUUCCUCUGAGCAAAACUUGAAGCUGCUUGUAUGGUAUCUCUCUGUGAGUUUUUAAAACGACAGAAAAGGCUAUAAAUAAAGAAUCCAAGAACUGUAGAGCACUGAGCAAAGCUAAAAAAGUCAUAUAAAUCACUGUACUCACAAAUCUUCUAGUUCGACUAGUCCCAUGAACGACCAAGUUGGUCAUGUUUCCAAUCAAAUAUGCUGUCAAUCCAAGGUUAAAAAGCAUAUAGAAGAUGUCAAAGAUCAUCUCCCUCGUAUUCACAGGAUGGAGAUCACCAUAGCCAACGGUCGUCAGAGUAGUGAUAGACCAGUAAAUUGAAGUCACAUAUCGAAUCCACACGCUCUUUUCAAGAAAAUUAUCCCCCAAAGAAGCUCCAAUCCAUGUCUUAUCAGGAUUACGAUAACGUGCAGCAAUAAGAUAGUAGAAGCAUCCAGCAGAGUGAACUGCAAAAAGGGUGACCUACAGAGAGAAUCUAUGUACUAAUAAGACGUUAAAUAUCCAGAAAAAAUAAUGCAUUCUAAUUUCGUACUUACACAAAUAAGUUUGGCACAUCGAACCCAGAAGUAGUUAUAGUUCCUGUCCUUCUCCAAUCUGUUGAAAGAGAUUAUAUAGCUGAAGUUACUAAAUAAUAAACAAGACAAAGCCCAAAUUGGUGAAAAUUUACAAGCAAACUUGUACCUGGAAAAUAGAGAACUAACUCUUCUAAGACGCCAAAGGCGAAGCAUGUUGAACAAGCCAUAUGUUCGGAAUGGUUUAGGGGAGAUCUUCUGGGCAAGUUCAGAUGGGAUUGUGGAUAUGAAAUCAAAGGCAAACCAGGAACUCGUAUACUUCCAAGCAAUCUUUUUUGGAUUGUCAACAAGUAGGUAAGUGGUCUUGUCAAGGUAAGCUACAAAGAAGGUAAGAAAAAUGUCUACAGCAAAGAAUCCAUUCACAAUAUUAUCAGCAAUGGAGAGUGGUCCCUCUGGUUUCUUGAGAAAUCCGAAUUCGAAAGGCGAUACCCAUGCAGUAUAGAUCACCAGAACAACGAGAUAAGUUUCCCAUAUUCUGCAAGAAUCGUUUAAAGCCUUAGCUAAUUUUAGCACAUUUUGUCAUUCCUUGCUCUCUACAGCUAUUACAUUUUUAUCAUACUACAGAAAAUGAAAAAGUAUAACUGAAACUUCAAGUAGCUAGAACUCCACCGCAGAUUAUUCAUCCCCAAAAAAGCAAUACCAGUCAAAGCCCAAGAUUCCCCCAUCAGUUUUGACAACGAGUAGAAAAAUAAAAAAUUUACAAAAGGGUAUUGCAUAAAGGGAAGAAUACAGAUACUGAAGAACCUGAAAAAUAAAAUAAAGUAAAAUAGAAAACUAGGUGUAUUUCUUGUAUGACCGAGUGACAAUUCAACCUCUAAAAAAUCACUAUUAGAUCUCUUACUUUCAGGAGAUGAUUCAGCAUUCCAAAACCUUGUGAACAACAAUAAUUCCAGUUUAUAAUAAAUANNNNNNNNNNNNNNNNNNNNNNNNNNNNNNNNNNNNNNNNNNNNNNNNNNNNNNNNNNNNNNNNNNNNNNNNNNNNNNNNNNNNNNNNNNNNNNNNNNNNNNNNNNNNNNNNNNNNNNNNNNNNNNNNNNNNNNNNNNNNNNNNNNNNNNNNNNNNNNNNNNNNNNNNNNNNNNNNNNNNNNNNNNNNNNNNNNNNNNNNNNNNNNNNNNNNNNNNNNNNNNNNNNNNNNNNNNNNNNNNNNNNNNNNNNNNNNNNNNNNNNNNNNNNNNNNNNNNAGUUAAUAUUAUAUUUCAUAAACAAAGAAACACGAAGCUCAAUGUCAUUCUUUUCCUCGUCCCGUAAAAUAAACAAUGCAGAAAAUAACUCAAUAAUAACGCUCAAGUCAACACCAACCAUGUUUAAAAAUCAUCAAAAAAGCUUAAAAUCAUAUAAAAAAAUAGUUCAAAACAACAACCAAUAACUCACGUAAUCCAGAAACACAAACAAAGAAGCAAAUAAUCACCUGUAACGACGAUCAUAAGGAGAUACAAUGAACCUCCUGAGCUUAACUCUGCGAUUACUUCUUGCACCAAGUGAAGGUAAAACGGCAGUAGAGAGGCUGUAAUGGCUGCCAUCUCUAGACAACUGCUCUAUCUCUUCUUGGCCGCACACUGAAACCCUAAAGACUCCUCUAUUACGCAGAGUGUCCAUUCUUGUGUACCCUACGCCUGCCUGAGAAUCUCUAGCUGCUGUGUUUGUAUUGGUCGACGUUACUGGUGUUAUUUCUUGUUGAGGGUUCUUUAAAUAUGGGUUGCUCUAUAUAUAGAGAGAGAGACACAAAUCUGUUUGGACCUUCUUUUUCUGCAACCAUAAUUUCUCUCUUACACAGUGAGCUGACUCAGUUACAGUUAGUUCCUGUUCUGUCCACAAUUAUUCUUAAUUUUCAUGAAUCUUUGUUUACUUGUUUGCCCCUACUCCUUCGCCCCUGUGAAUCUUUCUUUCCUGUUUAGAAUAGCAAUAAUUUUUUCACUUUUUAGAAGCUAUUUUCCAUUUAUCCAGAGAAUCUGUAGUUUAUUAUGAGAUUUUCUUUUUUAUUCUCUGCAAAUCCAUUUUUAUUUUUAAUUAAAUUUGAUACGUUAAGUUAAUAUUCAUAUUAACUUUCCAUAUAAUACUGUAAUUUAAUAUUUUCAUAUUGUUCUCUAAAUAAUUUUUUUUUUAUUAGAAUAAUCUUAAUUCUUUCUUUUUAAGCACAGUAAUCUUAAUUCUAAAUUUUAUAUUUAUAAAAACAUUUUUAGUAUCAUUAAAAAUUUAUGUAUAUACAAGCAAUAGUUGUUGGAAAUUUAUUUAAAUUUAAAAUUUAUUCAUAUAUUUUACUAAAUAAUUUUUAGUAAUUUAAUAAUAAAUAUUUUUGAUAACGGAGUCUAAAAUAUGUCCGUUCCGAACAAGAACACAAUAAAAAGACCUCGUCUGACCUCAAUAACCGCUUAAACGAGUCCAUUUUAAAAGGUUUGAUCAGGUAAGUCUUGAACUCAACAGAAAAAGAGGGUUCGGUUCCGCCCAUCAAUUAAGUCUGAUAAAAAUACUAUAGCAGCGUAACGGUUAUACAUCGAAAAAUAAUUAAAAAUAAUAAUAAUAAGAGGACACCCAAAAAAAGACUAAUCUCACACACAUAUCAAAAUCCUAUUUUCUUUUGAAUUUCAUAUUAUCAAUUUUUCUAAUUUAUUUUGACCAAACUAUAAUUUAUCUUUAAAAAAUGGGUUGACAUAUAUAUUAAUCUUUUCAUCAUUGCGAAUAAAUAAUGUUUGUAAAUAAAAAUUAAAUUCUAUAAAAUUAAAUAUCAAAAGUUAAAAGGAAAAAUUCAUUAUGCCAACCAAAUUUUGUGUGUAAAGCUAAAGAAAGUUGAUAUUUCCCGCAUAUAUAGAGAGAAAUCCUAAUAAAAUUUUCUUCUUUAAUGUUUUCAAGUAAUUUGAUUUUAUCAAAUGAGUAUUAUUUUGUAAUAAUUCGGGAGGUACUUCUAAAAUUAGAAAAUAUAUCAUUGCAAAUAUUAAUGACAACGAUUUUAUUUUUGGUAAAUCUAUCUAUUAUAUUUAAAGCAUGUAAAUAUUCCCACAGUAUUGACACAUUUAGCAACUAAAUUUGUUAUAUAAAAUUAUUAUAUUAUUUUUUAUAAAAUAUAAAAGUAAUAUUUUUUUUUAAAGCAAAACCAUUAAUUGUAUUAAUAAAAUUUCAUCAAAUAAAAAGGGAUAUCAUCCCAAAUAGAGAGACAAAUCCAUCUAACAGAAAUAUUAGUUCUACAGUCUAACAAAAAUUUAUAAUUAUUUAAAAUCAAACCCCUGCAUAAAAUAAUUUGACAAAAAUACUCUUUAAAUGCCUGUGUAAACCUCUGCAUAAAAUAAUUUGGCAAAAAUGCUCCUCCUUCUUUUUCAUCUCUCGAGCAUAGAUCAUUAAAGUCUCCCGAAUAAAGUCACGGAAGAGAGCUUCUAUGAGAUAAAACUCGAAUAAAGUUUCAAGACUAACGUCGUCGUUGCGAUUCCGGAAACUCAUAAUAACUAGUAAACUUCUAUUGAACAUUAACUUCCGAAUCAAUAAAAUUUGAAGAAAAACCAACCACAGAAACAGACACAUGACUCUUCCACAUUAAUGAAAGGUCUCCUCCCAAUUUUUAUCUAUUAUCUGAGAAGCAACCAUCAAAAUAUAAAAAAUUACGAAAAAAUUCCAUACGAGAACUAAGAACUUUUAUUUUCCUCAAAAAUAAAAUGUCUUACUUGUAACUAGUAAUCAAAUCUUUCAAUGCAUUAACUGUCCGAGGAUUGCCGAGUCCUCGGCAGUUCCAAUAUAGGAUGAUCAUUGCUUUCGGCUAUCCCGACCUUUGACGGGAUGAGUCGCUUCACUGUUGCCUGUCAAAUUAACUUUCGCAGGGGUGUUAUUAGAGGCAUCCUGUUAAGAGGAAAGAAAACCUGUAACAACGUUAUAUUUAGUGUUUCUUGGCAUUUUUUUAGCAUCAUCAUUUAUUCGGGCUGCACUCUCCUCAUCAACCUUAUCAGAUCUGCCUUGACCCACAGAAUUCUUGUCCAUGUCCAUACUAUGGUACUCAGUCUCUUUAUUUACAAUGGGUUGACUUUUGCCAAAUAAGGAGAAUAUCUCAGCAGAGCAGAAUUGCCAGAAUCACGCAAUCACAGACUUAUUGGUCUCUAGUUCCGACGAACAGGUGCUCUGAGGAAAUCAUCUCAACCAAACUUGAUAUCUUCUUUUUUCAACUUCAGCCGCAAAUCACAGAAAGUCUCCGCAUGACCCAGUUUCCCACAUAGAUAGCAAAAAAUAGUCAGCUUUUCGUAUUGAAACUUUACAGUAAACACAGUACCAUCAUCUCCAACAAACUUCUUACACCGUUUUAAAAGUUGCUGAAUGUCCAAAUAAAUUUUAACUCUCAUAAGGUCCGGCGACAUAACUGAGGCAUUUUUCAUAUCAUACUCUUUAUAGUGGCCAAUAAAAUUUUCGACCAAUUUAGCCAACGUCUCACUAUAAUAACCAGAAGGGAGAUCUUUAAUUAGAAUCUAAAAAUCAGAAUGAGUUAGAGGGAUAUGGAGAGUAUUUUUAUUAUUUUGUAUCUCUUUCCAAAUAAAUAGGAAUCGAUUGUACAACCAAAAACCCCCAACAAUAUCUUCUUCUUCAUCGAUAGUCGAUUGACGCAGAUCGUCUUUUAUGAAAAGGGGAAAAGAAAAAGUUAGAUUUAAGGAAGAGAAAAAAGCGAGAGUAUGGAGUCAAAAAAGCGAGAGUAUGGAGUCAAAAAAGAAUCAAAUAGAAAAAUUUAAAUAUAAAAAUAAUGUUAUUUUUUUAUUAAAUGUUUAUUCAUAUUAACUUAUGCAUAUAUAUUUAUAAGGAAAGUUUAAAAUAUUAAAUUUAUAUUUUUAAUUAAAAUUAUUAAAAUGUGUUAAUAUAUAACACCUCAUUUUUUAUGGGUUAUUAUUAAAAAUUUACCUACAUGUGAAUUCAUUCAAUAGAAUUUUAUUAUUUUGAAUUUAAUUAUAAAUUUAUUAUUUUAAUGAAUAAUAUUAUAUUACUUUUUUUAUUUUUGAAAUAAGCAUUUUUCAUUCACUAACCAUGAGGAAAAGCACCCCGUGAUUUUUUGUUCUUUUUCCGUAAAAAAGCGCCGCGUGAUUGUUCAAUGUAUCCUUUGACUUUACAAUCGACGACUCAAUUCUUUUAUUCCAAUAAUAACCCCACUGAGAACGCUGAAUGAGCACAGUACAGUACAGCCAAUCGCGACUCCUUUCUUGACAUCUUCCAAUGUAUUGAGUUGACUUUCAGGCUCACUUAAUCCCAUGUAGACUGCAAGGUGGUUAUUCAACACAUUUUCUUUUAAAGUAUAUAAUUUAAUUUAUAUUAAAAUAAAAUUCUAUAAUAUUAUAUUAUUAAUGAAUAACAAUAAUUUUUAAAUAUUUUAAAAAAAUAAAAGCAUUAAUAUAAUUGAUCAUUAAAUUAAAAAAUAAAUUUCAUAUUGGCACUCAUUACCUCCACUUAACCUAUGGCUUUACCUCCAAUAUACGAGUGUUGGGUUUGCAUUAAAAAGUCAGCCCAUAGUAUAUAAUUUUAUAGGACUGAAAACAAAGGUAGUAAUUAAACCUUAUUUUAUUAAAUGAUUUUUUGGUUAUUUUCUUAGGACAAUAAUUGAUCAUAAUUAAGCUUCUUAGGACAAUUAAUGGGCGGCAUAUGCUUACAUGAUUAAUUUAAUCUCAACUUUGAGAUUUUCAUUUCAUCUUAUGAGAUUUUUGCAAACUUGCCUUUUUAUCUCUGCCAUGAAUGGUGUUUUUUUUAUUUAUUACUUCCAUAUUCUAAGGAUGGUGGAGAUGCUUUAAAUCUUCGCUUCUUCUACUAAUCAUUUCUCCAAACCUUUAGAAAAUUAAAAAAUUACUAUUUAAUUUUUAUAUUACAGAGAUAUUCAUCGGUUAGUCUUUUUAUUUUAAAAAAUAAAUUAAAAUAUUUUUAAUAUUUUAAAAAAUUUAUUACUUAAUUAUAAUUUUAAAAAAUUUAUUAGUUAAUCCAUCGAUUUACUAAUUAGUCUUCUUCUAUCAAUAGCAUUUUAAACAUUUUUAAAAUAUUUAACUGUUAAAACUAAUAUAGAAUUAACUAGUAGACUUUUUAAAAUGUUAAAAAUAUUUUAAUAUAUUUUUUAAAAUAAAAAAAUCUAUUAUUGAAUUUCUCUAUAUCAUAGACUAAAUAAUAAAUUUUUUAUACAUUUUAGAAUCUAAAUAUAGACAAUAAAAAGAUUCUAAAAAUAAAUAUAUUAACUUCUUGAUUUUUCCUAAAUCAUGGCAUAUUUUCUCUCAUUUUUUCUUUUCCAAACGUUUUCAUCUCUUUCUAUUUGAUUUUACCGUUUAUCUUUAUUUUGAGAACAUAAAAAAAAUCUAAUUAAUAAGUUAAUUAAUUUAGUAGUAAGUGAGUAUUAAGGAAAUAUGGAGAAUAAGAAAAAGAAAUUUCACUUCUCUAAAUUCUCUUUUUUGAUAUCAAAUAAAAAAGGAAAAGGAGAUAAAUGGAGAGAAAGAAGGAAUUUAUUAUACUUAACUCAAAACAUUUCUCACCAAAUUGAUAAAAAAAAAAUAAGAAUGAGAUAAAUAACGAUUAUUUAUAAGAAAAUUUAUUAUUUAAUUCAUAUAUUACAGAGAAAUUUAUUAAUUAAUUAUUUAAUUUUAAAAAUUAUAUUAAAAUAAAUAUAACAUUUUAAAAAAUCUAUUAAUUAGUUAAUCAAUUAAUUUUAAUAGUUAAAUAUUAUAAAAAAAAUUAAAUACUUUGAUAUAAAAUGAUUAAUUAAUAGUUUUUUCAAACUAUAGGUAUUAAAUAGUAAAUCACUUAAUAACUAAUGAAAGAAUUACUCAAUAGAUAUUUAAAAUAUCAUAUAUAUUUUAAUUUAUUUUUUAAAAUUGAGAAAUUAAUUAAUAAAUUUUUUAAAAUUAAAUAAUAAUUUUUUAUUAUUUAUAAUAGAAUAUAAGUGCCCUCAUUUUUCUAAAGCCUCUGCUUAACUUGUGAGGGUAUAGUGAUUUCUCAUAAUUUCCGUUCAAAAGAGAAAUUGCAUUGCUCUUCUAUUCUAAUACCAUAUCCAAACAAGAUAAAAGUAAAUUAAAUCUCUUUUUUUUUUUUUAAUCUUUGCGCUUUUUAUGAUUAUAAAGUUUAAUUUUAAAUUCAAUUUAUUCAUAAAAUUAGAGAUUAGUCCAUACACAAACUAAUAUAAAUCCUUCUCCUCACAUUCAUGAGAAUAAAAUAUAUUAAAUAAUAUUUUUUUUAAUAUGUUAAUUAACGUUAGUUAUAAAAUUGAUGAGAUUAUAGAGUGGAAUCUCAGCAACGCUACAAAUGGGGUAAAAAAACAACCUACACGUCUCUCAUUCAAUUAAUGAUGAUCCAAACAAGGAACAAUUGUGAAAUUUCCAAGAUUGAAGAUUCAAAACUGGGGAGACAAAUAGACGGCAGCAGGAAGGACGAUAAGGGGCAGGACAGGGCAGGGCCCUCCACAAUUCAUUGAUAAUUUCAUAUGUUUUCUUAUAAAAAUGGCUUUUGCCUUAUUUGAAAUUAAUAAACAAAUCAAAGCACAUGCAAUUGAUGCAACCCUAGCUAGUAUUCAUAUCAAUGUCCUUUCGUCUCCUUCUUUUUUCCAAAAGCAAAUAUUUCCUUUUUGAAAAAAGAUUAAGCUUUUUCUUAUGAUGAAAACACUAAUGGGACGGCUGCCUUUCACCUUCUUAUUAAUAUUAUUCAUAUUAUUUCUAGGUUUAGGAACUUAGGUGGGUGAAUGAUGGGAUGAUGGGUUUUGGUUCUUUCGGCCAUGCAGAGUUGGUCCCAUUUUUCCAUUUUUUAUGAGACUGAUGGGUAUUAUGAAUUUGACUAUUAUGAUUGUUUGAUAUUUUUGGGCUACUAAUAAGUGUCGGAAAUAGUAAUAGGUAUCGUUGGAAUGAGUAGUAUUUAGAUUAAUUUGAAAUUGAAAUAAUUAAUUGAAUUAAAACAAUUUCAAAAUUUAUUUCAAUUUUAUAUUUUUUAUUUUGAUUUGAUUUGAUUUUAAAAAAUUAAUUAUUUUUAUUUUAUUUUAUUUUUAUUAAAAAACUUCAGCAAAAUGAACUGAUUAGUUUGUUAUAUUAUAUCGGUUUGAUAAUAUAGAGAUCGAAUUUUAAUUAAUCUUGGAAUAAUUUAAUUAAAUUUUAAAAUAUAAAAAAUAAAAUAUAAAAAAUAAAAAAUAAUAUUAAAAAAUAAACUGAAUUAAAUUAAAUCAGACCAAUUCGAUUUAUACCGAUUCAAUUUUGAUUUGAAGUGGAUGCAUGUAUCCAAACUCGAAUUGGCUUAGUGAGGCUCCUAAAAUUAUUAUGAGAUUUCAAGUUUGUGAUAUUAACUAUAAUUGAUUGCAUAUGUAUGACUUUUUGUUCGAAUAAGUCCUCUCGUUAAAUUGAUUGGGACUUUUUUGAAUAUAUUAUUAAAUAUUAGUUUAAAAGUCAUAACUUAAUAAAUAUUUAAACUUUAAAAAAUUAUACUUUUAAACACAAUUUUACAUAAUAAAAUAAUAAAAAUUGUAUUUAAAAGUAAUUUUUUAAAUUUAUUAUUAAAAAUAAUUUUUUAAAUUUAUAGUUUUAAAAUUAUAUUUAAAAGUAAUUUUAAAAAAAAUUAGAUACUUAAAAUAAUAUAUAUUUUUUAAAAUUUAAAUGUUUAAAAUUAAUAUUUUUAAAUUUAAAUAUUUAUUAUAUUAUAAUUAAAAUUAAAGUAUUUAAUAAAAAAUGAUAAAAUAUAUGUGUGUAAAUAUAUAUGUGACAAAAAAUAUUGAAUAAGCUUAAAAUACCAUGGAGAUGAGAUGGUGCAUCUAACUAAUAAAAGCAAAUCACAUUAGCAAUUUUAUUAAAAAAAUAAAAACUUAAUAAAAUUAAAUUUGUUUAAACUGCUACAUAAAUUAUAAACUCUUUAAAUGGUAUUAUCUGUCUCAGAAUAUUUAUGGUUUAAAAUUUAUUUACUCAAACUAAUAAAAUUAAUUAAUAGUUUUAAUUUUUGAAAGUUUAUAAUAAUUUGUCAAAUAAUAAUAUUUUUUCAUAUAUUAGCAUUAAAUGAUUUAAAAAUUAAUAACAAUAUAUAAAAAAUAAAAAUUAAUAUUUUCUUAAAUUCAAAAAGUGACAUAAUUGUUUUAAAACAAUCUGUAAACUGACAGUCAUCAUGGUAUAAGCUAAUAAUAUGAAUUUUAUGGAUUGAUUUGCUUUUAAGUUAAAUGAUUAGUUGUUACAUUAUAAUUAGCUGCAUUAUAACGAUCUAGAAAUUUGACUGUUAUCAGUACUAAGACUCAUAUCAACUUAAAAUUAAUUGAUUGUAACGAUUUAAAAAUUGAACCGCUCUCGGUAUUAAAACUCAAGUCAAUUUAAGAUUAUUGAAUUCCGUAAUAAAUUUAAUAUACAUUCUGCUACACGUAAUAUAAUUUUAAAUAUAAUCAUAAAAAUUAUAAAAAUAUUUUUAUAUUAUAAAUUAAAAUUUAACAUGUUUAAAAUAUUUGAUUUAAAAAAUAAUUUAAUUUAAUUUUAGUCACUUUGACUUACACAAAUCUAAGUUUAAAAUAGUUAUUUUCUUAUUAAUCUCUACGGUUUUAAAAGUCUAAUUUUAUAUGGAUGAACUGAUAUGUGAGGUUAAAUAUUACUUUUAUAAUUAUUAAAAUUAUUUCAAAAAAUUUCUAUAAAUAUAUAAAAAAUAUGUAAAAAACAAAUUAAAAAGGGCUGGACAAAGAGUUUUUGACGGUAAUUUCUACAAUUUAAAGCAAAAAAUAGUCUUUACAUACAGUUCAGCAGUCUAACUUUGAUUUUACUAUAAUGUUAUUAUAUUGACAUGUGAAAUAUAGUUGGGCAGUCUAAUUUGGAUUCUACUACAAUGUUAUUAUAUUGACAUGUGAAAUGCAGGGAUCUCUCAAACAAUAAACUUAUAGGAGAUAUUCCUGUCAAUGGCUCCUUUCCCUUGUUCAUGCCAAAUACGGUGGACACUGUAACAACGCUAUUUUAAUUUUUUUUAAUAUUUUUUUUAAAUUUAUAUAUAAUAAAAAAUUUAUAUAUAUAUAUAUUUUAAUUUUUUUCAUUUUUAUAAUUUAUUUUAUAUUUUUAUAAUCAUUAAAAUUUAAUUUAAAUUAAUAUAUUUUUAAUUAUAAAUAGUAUUUAUGAUAAAUUAAUUUAUUAAUAAUAUAUUAUAUAAAAAAAUAGAGUGACACAUAUAUUAUAAUUAAAUAAUAUAUAUUAAUUUAAACUAUAAUCAUUAAUAGUAUAUUAAAUAUUUAAUAUUCUGAAAGGUCAAACCCCGAUCCAGUAAUAUUAUUGAAAUAUUGAUGAUAUAUAUUAGAUGCGGAUGACGCUGGUAGUUGUUCAUAUUGAAUUAUUUUUUAUAAUAUUUAAAUUUUUUUUGACGAAAUGUUUCACGACCAAUUAAAUUGGUAAUAGAAUUUAAUAUGUAUGAGUCUAUUUUAUUUUUAAUUUGUUAAUUAAUAUUUAAUUAAUAUAUGUUUAUAAUUAAUGUUUAAGUAAUAUUUUUUUAUCAUUAAUAUUUAAUUAAUGUAUUUUUAUAAUUAAUUGUUUUUAUUUAUUUAUAAUAUAAUUGAAUAUUUGAAUAUUGAAUGAAAUUGUAAAAUAUAUAAAUAUUUAUGGUGAAUAUAUAAAAUUAUAUGAAUUUUUUGAAUAAAAUAUAUAAAUAAAGUUAAAGUAAAAUAAAUAAUAUAAUAUUAAAAAGAUAAUAAUAUAAAUAAAAUAUUUUUUUGAUGUUAAAAAUAAUUUAAAAUAUUAAAAAUAAUAUUAUACCAUUUUAAUAUUUUACAUUAAAAUAGUGUCAAAAACUAGUGCAUACAUUUGAAGAUGGCCUUACUAUUUCAUUUCUUUGCAGUUUUAACGAUAAUCUACUCAAUAAACCUCCAGCUUCACCUCCUUCUCCAUUGACUCCACCGACACCUACUCCUAGUGGUUAGUGUUGAUAUCUGCAUUUUAGUCUCGGUGUUUUUUACUGCAAGUUUGAAUUGGAUUGGACCCUUUUCUCGAUUCCCAAGAUCUUGUUUAAAUUUUCUUAUAUUUAUUUAUUAUUCAGUUGGAAGUUGGAAUUUUAUUUGCAUCUUGAAUGAUGCCUUUAUAUCUGCAACUUCGCUUUAAUUCAUAUUUAUUUUUGUUUUUUUCAACUUCUCUAUGAAUUCAUAAUUAAUAAAACGGUAAAUAAACUUCAUAUGAUUUCCAUUUUUUACUGGAACUUUAAGCUUGGACCAUUAAUUUUUGAAUUUUUUUUGAACUCUUAUAGAUCGUUACUUGACUAGUUUAGGGAGAACGAGAAACGAAGAAGGAGAUUUUGAUUUUUAAAUGUAAAAAUUAUUUAUAUGUGUGAUAUAAUAUAUAAGAGUAGUUUGAGAAGAAAAAUAAUUUUUAAAUAUUUGACUAAUAAUUUAUAAAUGAAUUAAUCGAGAAAUAAAUGAAAUAAUUGUGAAUUUGGACGGAACGAACAUAUAAAAGUUUAAAUGUUCAAUAUAGCGAUUGGAUUAUUAAUUAUUUUAAAAUUUAAGGAUCAAAAUAAAAUUUAUCUUUUAUUUUAUUAGGGGAAGAUGGCGAAUGGAGAAGGAUAACUGCUAAAUCAGCAAUCAUGGAUAAUGGGUUGAGCCUGGUUUUCCAUAUGGGUCAACAUCUACUGGCCCAUACAGUGACUGCCAAGCAUCACUAUCACUUGCUCAUUUUAACAACAUUCAGCCAUUCAUUAUUCAAAACUGGAGAGGGACCAUGAAAUGCAGCAUUAUUUUCUCCAAUUCACCUAUUUAACUAUCAUUGAACUAAAUCUUAAAUACAAAUGUCCCCAACAACAUGCCAUUUUCAAGUGUUGGACCAUCGACUAAGAAAAUCACUUGCUUCAUUGCCAGUUUUCCAUAAGUUUCUAUUGCUUCUAUUUCUGAAGAGAAAAAAUAAGUUAGCCUUAGCAUAUUUGGUUGAAUUUUGGACUAUUCUAAAUUUCAUUUUCUUUUGUUUUCUCCAUUUAUGGGAUAAAUUAUUUCAUGUGCACUAUAGCUUUGCAAAUCAAGCCCAAGUAAAUGCCCACAUGAACCCAACUCAACUAUAACAAAAAUCGCAACCUGGGACUGGGAUUAAACCAAAGUCAGUUUUAAGCCCAAAUAUAAUAUAUUUUCACAAGAUUUAAGUCUAAGUCAAUAGACUGCAUAAAACUGAUUUUGGUGAUAGUUUCUUUAAAAUUUUGAAGAAUUUUCAUCAAUUAAAAAAUGAUUUUGAACUGAAUUUUUAUUAAUCUCGUGUGAGCCUUCAAUCUUCAACUAUGCAAACACAUAACAUCCUCCCUGCUAUUUUUUUUCUCAAAUCCUCCACGAUCUCAAACCAAAUUUCUAAACCUUUUGACUUGCUGUCAUCGGUUGCUUCACCGCCACCUGGAGAAUGACGGAAACUAGCUGUCGCUUUCAAUAGCAAAUGGUGGAUUCGAGAAUGGAGGAUAGCCGUCACAUGCAGCUACUAAUGCCGGCGGUCACUAACACUGUAGAUUGGAGAAAACUUGCAUAAACCUUAGCAUCAUAAAUUCACAUAUAAAUAUUGAUUAAAAUCUAUAUCCAUAUUUUUUAGAUUUGCAGUUUCAAUUCUAUACAAUUGAAAAGAAAUUAAAUAGAAAAAAUAAAAUAGAGAAAUUUUAACUUAAUCAAAAAUAUUUUCUACCAAUCAAAUGUGCAAAAGAAAUCAAUUAAAUAUAUUUAUUUAGAUUUACUUAUAAAAAAUUUAGAAUCAAUCAUCCUCUCCCUGUACUAUUACUCGUCCACUUCACUACUAUUCAUCCCCCAUAAAUUAUUAUAUUGAGUUUGUCUAAUGUAAUUAAUGUUUAUUAUAAUCAACAUAAUUACAAUUAUUAUUUUUUAUUUUUUAUUAUUGUUUUAAAAAGAGAAACACUAGAUUUAAAACACGAAAAGGGGCCGAGAUCGAUGCUAGAAUGAGUAGUAUUAGGUUUAAACAGAAAAAAUCAAUCGAAUCAAAUUAAUUUAAAAUUUUAUCUUGAUUUUUUAUUUAUUUCGGUUCGUUUCGAUUUUUAAUUUUAAAAAAUUUAAUUAUUUUAGUUCUGUUUGAUUUUAAUCAAAAAAAAAAAAUCGAAUCGAAUCAAUUAGUGAUAAUAGUAUAUUAUUUUCAAUAGUAUAGGGAGAUUAGAUCACAUUAAAGUUAAAAAUAUUUCAAUUAAAUUUUAAAAUAUUAAAAAUAAAGUAUAAAAAAUAAAAAAUUUAUUAAAAAUUCAAAUCGAUAAAAUUGAAUCGAAUCAGAUCGAUUUGAUUCGAUUCAAUUUCUAAUCAAAAUUAAUACAGUUCAAUUUUCAUAAAUAUUAAAAUUUUAAUUUUUAAUUUAUUCGAUUCGAUUUGAUUUGAAUCAAACCGAGCAAAUGCUUACUCCUAAUCCAUACAAUACAACGAUUGGUUUGGUCAUUGAAAUGUGUUGGCCAAAAUUAUAUUUUAAACAGGAAAUCAACACCAUUGUUUGUAAGUCAUGUAUGUGGACAUUUUAAUUUAUAAAAUUAAGAAAUAUAUAUAUUAUUUAAUAAAUAAUACAUGGAAAUAUAUAGCUUAAGCAAUGAUUAUUGAGAUAAUAAGAGAUUUUAUAUUGAUUAAUAUUUUUACUACAAAUUAAAGUGAAAUUGUAUAUCCUUAAAUUGAGUUAUUAUUUAUAAAAUGUUAUUCGAUUUAAAAUUUCAAUAACAAUAAUAAAUGGGAGCUUGAAACUCACGUAUUGCAUCUAGCUUUAUAAGCCAGCGACUGGGCACAAAAGUCUCCACAAAGUUAUCUCCACUAGGCUUAAAGAUGGCAACAGGAAAACCGGAAUAGCCUGUAAAAAAGUCAUAAAAAAGCACAAAGUACCCUGCACUGUCUCUUGAAUAACCUCCACGUGUCCUGUCUUAUCCUUAACCUUUUCCUCUUCCUUUUUUCCCCCUUCACAGUUCCCUCUCUCACUCUUCAAAUCGCGCUAUCUUCUUUUUCACGCUUCCCUCUUUUAUCUCUAAACACACAACCCUCACUCGUUCCCCUCAUCCAAAGCAAUAAGCAUCUUUUGUCUUGAAAGUCUUAGAAAUGGCUACUAAUCUUCUUCCCUUGGGUCACGUCGCAAUUAGAGCCUCUGCUGCAACAGGUCCACGGAGAUCUGGUCCGAACCAUCGGAAAAACUCGUCCCCCUCGUCUUCCAACUGGUGGACCCCGCUUUUUGGGUGGUCCUCUGAGCCCGACUACAUUGGCUCUGAGAGUAAAGCGGAAGAUUUGCAGGAUAAAAGGGAGUCAGUUCUGGAGUCAAAAUCAAUGAGAUCUCGGUUUGCUCCAGGUUGCUUUACUGAGGAGAAGGCGAAACAGCUCCGCAUGUUGACUAAUGAUACGUCAUCCUUUCACGAUGCUAUGUAUCACUCAGCGAUCGCGUCUCGGCUGGCUUCAGACUUCAAAAACAAAUCCGAUCCGUAGUCCUCCGGCAACUAAGCCUUAUAACUCGAUAUUUAUGUAUUUCAUAUGUUUUAUUUUCGUUUUUUGUAGAAAUAGUUUUGCUAGUAGAACUUAAUCUGGCCUGCUAUAUGUUGAUGAAUGAUGAUCCUCUUCCUCUGUGACGCAUGGUUUAGUUGAUUGAUUGCUUGCUUGUAAGAGAUGUUUAAUCAGGUAACCAUAUAUGCUGAAAUCUGUAAAUUAUUGAUGUACAGAAGUUGAUAAAAUUUCAUUAUCGUUUCGAUUGGAUUAAGCAGUAUUGAGUGAGCCGUGACGGAAACGUGGAUGAUGCUUGCGUUUUAUCCAUUUUCUUUGGGGGAUUUAUUCAUUGAUUAAUUAUUCAGUUAAGCUGAUGUUUGCAGCAUAUUAGCCGGCAUCCAUUGGGCUAGGGGAUCAAUCAUUCUUCUUUUCUAAAAGAGUUGGUAUUGUGUGCUGGGUCCCAUUUCAUCUCUUGCAAGGGACGAAAAUCAUCAGGAAGACAGGAACUCGAGCUUAUUUUAAUCGUGGUUAGAUUUGAUGAUUAUGGAGAAUGGAAAGCUGAGUCAGAAGAUUAAUUAAGAAAAAAAAAAAUAUUAAUUAGUUUCUCAAUUUCACCCUCCAUUUUGAUAAAUAUAUUUUAAUAUUUUAAUAAUUUUAUUAAUUAAUCUCUAAAUUUUUAAAAAACUUAUUAAUUGAUUUAUUAAAUUUAUAAAAAAAUCUAUUAAUUAGUUUAUUAUAUUAAAAAUAUUUUAAAUUUUUAUAAUAUUUAAUAAUUAAAAUUAAAUAAUUAAUUAAUUAAUACAUUUUUUAAAAAUAUUAAAUAUAUUUUAAUAUUUUUUAAAAAUAAAUUAAUUAAUUAAUUAAUUUUUCAUUAAUAAAUUAGAAAUUGACAACGGAAACUUCCUAAUGUUUCUUAAAUCUUUUCGUGAACCCAUUUCCCAUGACGCGAAACACUGUUUUCUUAAUAAAUUCGUUAUCCUUUAGGAGUUUUGGAGAAUUUGGUUUGAGUUUGAGAAUAUAAAAAGUAAUGCUUCUUUUGUAUUUUCUUUUUCUUUUAUUUCUCGAAAACAUUUUCGUUUAAAGAAAAUUGGUUUAAUUUCUCCUACUUAUUUUUCAUGACUUUGUGUUUAUUGAUAAUAAAGAAGUAAAAUUCAAGUUGAAUGAGGGAGGACAAGAGAUGAGAUAGAGCUUGAUUCAAAAAAAAAAAAAAAGAGAUGAGAUAGAGCAAAACUAGAGGGAGUGGAAGAGGGGAGAGCAGAGAGAGAGGAGAGAGUGAGAAAGUAAUAAAUAAAGAGAAUCUAUUGCGAUUAAAAUCGAGGAGAAAUAUUUAUUUAAAUUAAAUUUAUAUGAAUUUAUAGAGUUAAUGGAUAAAAUUUUAUAUAAUUUGAUGUUAAUUAUUAUAAUUAAUUUUAUUAUAUGCUAGUUUUAUUAUUUUGAGGGAGUUUUUCAAUUCUUUAUAUUUUAUAUGAAAUCUGAAGUUCUUCAUAUUUAUUCACUUAAUAUUUUGGAGUAUAAAUUGAGUCUAUUUAGAGAUUUGCUGGCCUCUAUUAAUUAAAAUAAAAUUAUCAAAAGUCUAAAUAAUAAUUAAUAUUUAAAUUAAGGUUGGACUGUAAUAUCUAUUAUUAGCCUUUUGAAUUGUUGGUAAAGUAUCACGCAUUUAGAUCCUGGUUGGACUCUCCCAAUUUUAAAAUAUUAUUAUUAUUAUUACUCAUCAAUGAGAAAAUACAGCUAAAAAGUGCUUAGGUGAUAUUUAUAAGUUUGCUGGUGAUUAAAGCGUCAUUACGUGCCGAUUGUAGCAGAUUUUUUAUCACAAAUUGAACAAAACACUUGUUAAUGCAUAAGGAUAUUCUCCCUUGUAGUCAUAAAAAGUACAAAAACUUGGGAUUUUAAGCCCAUGGUGUGGCAUCCAAAGCCCAUCCAUUUUCGGUUUUUCUUUUUUAAAUUCAAAUUAAUAUAAUACUUUUUUAAUUUUUAAUAACAAAAAUUAUAUUAUUAUAAUUUUAAAAAAUUACUAUUUAAUUUUUAUAUUAUAAAAAAACUUUUAAUUAACUUUUUAAUUUUAGAAAAUAUAUUAAAAAUAUUUUUUAAUUUUUAAAUAGUCUACAGUUAAUUAUAACGUUAAUUUUACUAAUUAAAAUUAAUAAAAAAAUUAAUUAGUAAAUUUUUUAAAAUGUUAAUAAUAUUUUAAUAUAUUUUUUAAAAAAUUAAUUAAUUAAUUUUUCUAUAAAAACUAAAUAAUAAAAUUUUCUAAUUAAAAUAACAAAAAUAAAUUAAUCUGAAGCUUCCCACGUCAAGGUUCUUGGNNNNNNNNNNNNNNNNNNNNNNNNNNNNNNNNNNNNNNNNNNNNNNNNNNNNNNNNNNNNNNNNNNNNNNNNNNNNNNNNNNNNNNNNNNNNNNNNNNNNNNNNNNNNNNNNNNNNNNNNNNNNNNNNNNNNNNNNNNNNNNNNNNNNNNNNNNNNNNNNNNCUUCUUAAAAUAAAUUUUAAAAGACUUGUCUCUUUUUUUUAAAAAAAAUAGAAAAAUAAAAAUAACAAAUAAACAUAAUUUUAUAUAUUUUAAACUUCAUUUAUUUUACAAAAAAAUAACUUGUAUUUUUAAAAUAUAUUCUAUGAAAAAUAUUUUUAAUAAAAAAUAUUUUUAAUAAAAAAUAUUUUUUAAUGAGAUAAUUUAUUUUCUAUUAUUUAAUUUUAAUUUUAAUUUAUAAAAUAAAAUUUAUUAACGAGUUUAUAUAUAAAAAUUUUAAUAAGAAUUUUAAGUAUAGAAAAUAAUUUUAUAUUUUUAAAAAAAGAAAGUUAUUUUUCUUAAAAUUAGAAAAAUAUUUUAUGUUGACUAAAUUUUUUAAAUGUAUUAAAUACUAGAAGUAUUUCAAAUACCAAAAAACAUUUUUCAUCAGGCUUAAUUUAUAAAAUCAUAAUUUUGAUAUUUGAUAUCAUCUACCAUAAUUAUAUUAUUGAAAAAUUAUGUUUUACUAUAAAUUAAUUAGUAAAAAAUUGGUAUGUGAUAAAAUUAAAUAUCAACAUUUCAUUAAAUAUUAUUUGAUUACAUAUAUUAGAAAAAUGUCUUUGAUAAUGUUAACUUAUUAUUUUAUGCCAUAAUUUUUUUAUUUUUUUAUUUUUAUUAAAAAUAAAUUUUCAUCCCAUAAAAAUAUAUUUGCUUCUAUUUUUACAUUGAUUUAAAAGAUGUGUUAAAUUUUUACAGACUACACCAUUUCUAUCUGUACCAACAGGAAUUUGCAAGGAAACUUUUUUUUAUAUGUAGUAUCGUGCUGCUGUUAAAUUUUCUCCCAACCUUUCUUCAAGCUUUUCUCAAUCAAAAUACUGGAAAAGAAAAUACGUAUGUGUUUGAAAAUUUGAGUUACUCCCAUUCUUGGAAUUGGGUUAAUUUUCUCUAUUGUUUAUCUUGUAAUCUCGAUCCUUGAAGAAUCCAUCAAAGUAUUUGUUAUACAAUUACAUGUCUGCAAGCUAUGGAAAAUUUAACAGGCUGAUACAAAGGAAGACACGACAGUGAUGUAACAUGAUCUCUCUCACCCAUUCACAACAUGGUCGAUAAUCAACAUAUCAAAACAAAGAAUACAGAAUCAUAAUUCAUUAUUGAAGAAUCGAAUUUCGUUAAACCCAAAUUGCGAAAAGGAUACACCUAGUAAAAGCCAUGGGCAAAAGCACCAGCUAGCAAAGCAGUAAAUAGACGGUCCCUUACACCUGGAUUUCUACGCAGCGAGAUUCUGACUGAAAUUGAAACCCACAAACGUUAAAAUGGCUCGAAGCCCAAUCUAAGGAAUCAGAAACUGAGAGGAAGAAUGGGAGCAUAUAUAGAUGAGAGGAACCAGGAGCUUGAAUGGAGGUCCAUUGCUUUGCUUUUCAACAGUAGUAUCCCUUAUGGCAUUCAUAAGAUGAAUAAAUAAAAUACAACAAUGAUCUUUUAGAAAGAACACGAACAUACGCAUGAAGGAAUGUAGCGAGACUCACAGGAUAGAUAGAGGGAUCGGACGUUGAGGCAUAGAGGCGAAGGACAGAGGAUCUUCGCGAGGAAAUUGUUAAAAAGUUAUCGCAUUGUACAAGUCUCGUGCUUGGCUUGGGUCCUUGGGUUCGGGGAUGGCGGCCAAUUUUGUCGAAUUACCAUACAGUGGUUUGAGACAGAUCCAAAUUAAUAUCUUUGAAGAUUUCAGAUUAAUUUUGGAUUUUCUAUAUUAGAUAUACAUUUUAUUUAUAUAAAUAAUUAAUUUAAUAUAAACUAUAUUUUAUAUUAAUAUUUUAAAUUUUUAUAUAUUUUCAUUUAUUAAUAUUUGUCAUGUCGAGAUAAAAAUUAUUAAAAAAUCAGCUUUAAAAAAGUCUUAACAUAACUAGAAAAACUAAUUUUAGAUAAGUUUUAUAUAUUCAUAAUAAUUUCAAUACAAUUAAAUAUUUUUAAUAACGUUUAAAAUAACAUUUUAAAGAAAAAUUAAAAUCAUAAUUCUAAAUUGAACCGGAACUACCUCACAUCAAAAAUAAAAUUUACAGCUCGUCUAAGCCUUCUUUUAAUUAUAAAUAAGUAUAGAAAGUUUUGUUUAAAAAAACGUUUUUUAAUCAAAACCUUAACACCAAAGGAAUUAGGAAAAACACCAUUUAAUUAAAAUUAUUAAAAUUUAAUUUUUAAUUAGUUCUCCAAUAUAGCUAUACAAAUUAAAAUUUAAUUCUAAAAUUUUUGUAUUAUUUAAAUUAUAAUUAUUUAAAAAUUUAAUUAUUAAUUUUAAUACAAAAUCUAAGUAGGCAAUUUAAUCUAAUUAAUUUUGUAUUUUUCUUUUAAUAUUUAUGAAAUUGACAUUUUUAUAUGGACAGUUUAAUUCAAACUGUUACUGUUUAGUAUUUUAUAAAUCAACUAUUAACGGUGUAAGUGACGUAGAGUACAAAUAAAUUAUAACUUAUAAUAAAAAUUAUAUUAAAAAAAUUUAAAAUAUUUUAAAAUAUACCGGUUAAAGGUCAAAAACUUUAAUUUUUUGGUGAGUUAAGUUUCCUCUGCUCCCUUUGUGACUCGAUAUUCUCACCAUUUUCUCUUCCUUAAACUUAAUUUCUUCUUUUUCCUUCCUCAAGAAAAACGAUAUGCGUCAAUUGACUAUCGAUAAAGAAGAAGACGUUGUUGUCCCUAUUAAGAGCUCCAGAGAUAUUCCGAUCGUCACUUAUGAUUUCUGUAUGGUGGGGAUAUUUCUCACAUACAAUCCAAUCAAUUUUCAAAAUAUGUAGACCUCUUUGGCAGAUUUAUGGUGGCAACCCUCGGACAGUUAUUGCAUUGAAGGAUUUGAUUCCUGGUUACAAGCCGGAUAUUUUAUUUUUGAUGGAAACAAAAACUUUUAGUUCUCGUAUAAAAUUUUUUUGUAAUUUUUUACGUUUUGAUGGUUAUUUCUUAAUCAAUAGACAAGAAUUGGGAUGAGACCUUUUAUUAAUGUGGAAGAGUCAUGGGUCUGUUUAUGUGGUUGACUUUUCUUCAAAUUUUAUUGAUUCGGUUGUUUCGAAAAGUAAUAUUCAAUGGAGGUUUACUAGUUAUUAUGCGUUUCCUGAAUCGCAACGACGAUGUCAGUCUUGGAACCUUAUUCGAGUUUUAUCUCGUAGAAACUCUCUUCCGUGACUUUGUUCGGGAGACUUUAAUGAUUUAAAUGCGAGAGAUGAGAAAAAAGGAGGAGUAUGUUUGCCAAAUUAUCUUAUGCAGAGGUUUAGACAGACACUUGAGCAUUUUUGCCAAAUUAUCUUAUGCAAGGAUUUGAUUUUAAAUGAUUGUAAAUCUUUGUUAGACUCUAGAACUGAUAUUUCUGUUAGAUGGAUUCAUCGUAAUGCUACUCUAGCUGCUCAUACUUUGGCUAGAGAAUCUAUCAGGCAUAAUCGUCUCUUUGUUUGAUAUGAUAUCCCUCUUCGUUUGAUAAAAUUUUAUUAAUACAAUCAGUAGUUUUACUUUCAAAAAAAGUCAAAAACUUUAGCAGUUUUUUUAUAUCGAUAUCUUAUAACGUACUGAUAAUGCUGAGAUUUGGCAAGGCGUCCAAAUGAGAACACUUAGGCAGAGGCCUAAUUCACUAGAUUGAUUAUUGAUCUGUGAUCGGUCUGUUGGAUUUCUCCAUGCUUAACUUUAAGGAAGAGGUCCUAUAAGAUAAAGAACAUGGUUAGGGGUCCAUCAGGGGAGUUCCCGGUGCAGACUUCCCGACGAUCAAGUCAGAUCUGAAAACUUAAUGGAGUUGAAGGAAGUAAAACAUAGAAGAUAAGAGAAUAAUGAUUUAGGUUCCCUCUAUGUGAUGGAGAGAGAGAUAUGUUCUUUUUUUAGAGAAUGAGAGAUCUCCUUUUUAGGGUUAGGUUGGUGUAUAAAUACAUUUGAAUAAAAUUGAUCCCCUUGGUGGACCCCUGACGGAGCAGAGAUGCUUUUGUGUAUGUGUGUUAGUCAGUACAUUAAUAUGGACUAUAGGACAAUAAAUGCAGAGAUGGCCAGUUCGUACUCUCUGCAUGCGCGCUUAUGCAUGUGUUGUACUAAGGAGGCGACCAGUUUAUAGGAGGUCGGUAUCUUUAACCUAACUUUAUCAGGUCGCGUCGGGCUCAUCCGACCUAUAUAGAAAUGAGCUCCUUCCGGUUACUGAGAUUGACCAUAUUAGCUUUCAAAGCCUUAUUGUAGUACGUGCUUUUGAGGAGAUCGGUUUGCCCAUCCUCUCCGGUCUUUGAGGAGGUUGGUUUGUCCAUUUCGGGUUUUAGUAAACUCAAGAGUGUUACUGG
rnacentral:lncRNA from 1 species